UUUUAUUUUUCAAGGUUAGCUUCAUCUCACUUGACAUUUUUCUCUGUUCAAAGUAUACAGGCGAAAAAAAAAAUAAACAACUAAAUUAUUAUCGGUCCUACUAGGACUCAGUGUCCAACUUCAUUUUUUUAUAUUUUUCACACAGUAUUUUGACAAGUGAAAAUAUGUUAUAUAAACUAUAAACAAUUAUAAUUAAGAGAAUGACUUUCUAGUAAAAGAUAAAGUAGAUAAUUAGUAUUUAUAUAUAAUAUAUAAGAGAGUAGAUAAUUAGUUGAUGAGAUUGAAAACUAUAAAAUUUCAACCUCUCUUUACAGUCGUUUUCCAUUUGAUUUUUUCAAUACUUCUAUAAGAAUAAUCAGUUUUUUCAUUCUACUAACGAAAAGUUUAUAUUUUUUCGCAUAUACCAUAAUUAAAACUUUUAGAUUUAUAUAUAUAUGUAUAUAUUCAAAAUAAUUGAAAUAUGAAUAUGUAAUUAUAUAAAGAGAGAUUAAUGUAUAUAUAUAUAUUCAUAUUUAAUCACUUUCGCAUAUACCUUUUUCUGAUUCUAUUACGUAUGAGAUUAAAUAGUCGAUAAUUUAAGUCGGUUUGAUCUUCUGUUAGUCUCUAUUAGGAAUGUUGGCUAACUUAACCCAAAAGCUAUCUCAAGAGUUAAGGAUUGCCACAUCUUUUAUAUACUAUCCAAAGAUUUUAAUCCCAAGCAAUGUGGAACAUUCUAAUAGGUCUUUUCGAGAUGUGGGUGGGAAACGGUCAAACGGGAAACAGCCCAAUCCCAACACUUCGGAAAUACAACAAGACAUGCCUCUUAUAUGGGCCACAUAGGUGGAAAUCUAUUUUUGUGGGAAUUUGCUUGUUGGGCCAACCUUAGGCUCUGAUACCAUAUUAUGAAUGUGGCCUAACUUAACUCAAAAGCUAAGCUAGCUCAAGAGUUAAGGAUUGCCACAUCCUUUAUAUACUACCCAAAGAUCUUAAUCCCAAACAAUGUGGAACAUUCUAAUAGUCUCCUAGCUAGGAUCCAAGUUUGAUGCCUAUUCGAAUAAGCCAAAGUGGUUUUAAAAUAUGUAAUUGAAUCAAUCGAUUCUGCUAUUUACUUUGAUAGGUUGAUUGAAAAUAUAUCCGAUUUGAUGAAAAAGUGCUAUCACCAUCCAACGGUUUCGUCGAAAGACUCAAAACAAGUGAUUCUAUUUCCUACAACUUUAUUUCCACACUUGUUAUACUUACACAUACCCAUUAAAGGACGACAUUGAUUGCUGGGUUUUAGAAAUGCGAACAAGAAAAGUUGUGAUUAAUGCUCGAUCCAAAAUGUUAACGUGGAGACUUUUCAUAGAACCUUAAUUGAUCAUUAAAAAUAGUUGGGUUUUUUUUUCUUUUUCUUUUCUUAUUUCUUUUUGUUUAAUAUAGUUAGUUGGCACCAAUAAUUUACAUAGCAUAAUGGAUCGUUAAUAAUAGGUAGUUUCAAUAUCACCAGUAGGGUGUACGUAGUAUUCACUAACUCUCUUUAUUGGAAAUGAGUAUAUUAUUAUCACUAGGCUAGUAAAUCCACCUUUUUUUUUUCGUCUAAAGGAUUUCAUUGAUAGAAUGCGAUUGAGUUAUACAAAGCCGACAAGGAACGAAAUCCUUUCGGAGACAAAGCCGGCAGGUACAUAGAAACCCCCAGAAACUUAAGGCCAAAAGAGGCGGACAAACAUAACAAAGCCCAAACGAGGGAAACUUAAGCCCAAACGAGGGAAAUUACAAUCUACGGAAAUAGGUGGAACCGCUAAAAGCUUAGUCUCAAUUAAGCCCAAACAUGAGAACGACGAACAUGGCAAGAUACAGAAAUCGAAUCGAGAAACCUGACAUAGAAUUUGACGAAGGAAGAAGAACGCACAUGCUCAACUCUUUCAGUCCAAGAUCACACGACUAACUAAACUGAGAGGAUCCUGCUGAACCGCGAAACGAAGACGACUAAACCAACCUUCUAACAAAACCGGAGGAAACCCAAACAAGUGGGUGAGCUGAACUAUCCGCGAAUUGUAAGAUGAGGAAACCGAAUGAAAACUCAGCCCAGAGACACCAUGGAAAGGCAAAGCAGAGACAAACCACCAGCAAAAUCCAAGACACAUUCCGCAAAAACAAGUCAACCGGGCUAACUAAUGCUUCGGGCUAACAACAACAAGGAAGCGAGACAGCCUAACCGAAGACCGGAUCACACAAACCUCCGCAUGAGCAAACCGUCGACUAAGAGUCUAAACUAUCCAAACCAGUAAAGAACGAGCCUAAGCCUAAGAUUAAAACCCCACCAACAGCCAAAACGGACCAAACACAACAACCCCAAAGAUAGAAGAGACGAAGGACGAUAUUACCAGAUAGAAGGCAACAUCGAUUCAGCCGAAGACGAAUCCAAAGAUCCGCCUAACACCAAUCGAUUACAGGAACCUCCAGCCACCACUGAAACCAGAUGAUGACGCGAAGAUCUAUUCUGAACCGAAAGAGACCGGCGCACAUGGAGGAUCUGUCCGACAAACAGAGAAGAACCAAUCUGAAUCAUAAGAACACCAACGCAAGACAUAUCCGACUGAGGGGUUGCUACUGGCCGAAAACAAAGGAGAAAAACAAGUAAAGCGCAGAGACGGACUCUCUCACGGCUCCGAUGAGGAGCACCGGAAACCGGAGAGAGUCAAAACGGUAGUAACUUUCUUCGGCGGCUAGGGCGAACUUCUAUGGUCGAGAGAAAAAAAAAAAAAGGAAAAAGAUGAACGGUUGGCUAGUAAAUCCACUAACCAGACACUUGUUCAAGCGUUGGUUUUUGGGAAAAUGUGAUAAAUGGUUUUUUUUUUUGGGUAUCAUUGUAUGAUAAAUGUUGAAAUAAUACUACAGUAUGAAAUACUAAAAAUUCAUACUAUUAAGUUACUAACUACACAUGCACUUUUUUUUAGCAUUUUGGAAAUGAGUAUAUUUUAUCAAUAGCUUGUAGCCACUAACCACACACUUCUAAAGCGUCGGCCUUUGUAAAUGUGUCGAUUUCUUUUACAAGCCAAACUCCGUUUUACUAAAUUAACGGAUACAUAUGUAGAUACACACUCGUUUUUAGGAAGAGCCGAUCGAAAAUUGAUAAAUUUAAAUGUGAAAGAAAGAUACAUGAGUUCUUGUUUUAUUAGUUAAACAAACUACCCAAAUACUGUUAUUAAGAAAGUUAAAACUACUAUAGCAAGAUAGAAAAAUGGAUCUAAAGAUUGUAAAAAAAGCGAUAUUCACCAUAAAAAUAGGUCAGUCGUUUUGGUAGGCUAACUGUUGACAUGUUGCCAAGCUACCUUAAAAUGCAUUUUCAUGUAAUUUUUAUUUUAUUUUCAAUAAAGAUUAUUACAGUUUAUUCAAUUUUAAACUAAAAAAUUCAAAACUCGAAAAAUUAAAAACGAAGAAUGUUCAAAUUGAAAUAAAAAUAUACAAAAUUUUAGUAUAGUAACUAUUUCCUAUAUAACAAAAUAAUCGAAGAAAUCAAACCGAAAUCCGAAUCAAAGAUUCAUAUACAAAUCAAUCUAACACUAAGAUACGACUGAGUGAUAGGGUGUUAAUAGACACUUUAUCUACUUCACUAGAUCAUCACCCGUACUAAAAUACGGGUUGAAUUUUAUUUAUUACAAAAUUUAUAAAAUAUAUAUAUUAGAACUAAGUUUUAAUAUAUUAUAAUAGUAAGUGAAAAAAUAUUAAUUUUUUUGUCAGUCCCUAUAUACAAUAUUAGAAUAAAUAUAGAAUUUUUUCUAUAAUACUCAAUUAUGGAUAAUUUUUUUUUUAGAUAUGAAAACGGAAAAUAAUUUUAUUUUUUAAAAAGUAAUAUUUUUUGAACAAUGAGUUAAUUUAUGUUAACAACCACAAAAUAGGAUUGCAUAUAUUUCAGUUAGAUCAAAAAUUAAAAAUCAUAAAUGAAUCGCAUAUAAAACAUAGAUUAGUUUGAAUUAAUUAAGAAAAUUAGCUAUUAUUUGAAUUAAAUUAGAAAAUUAUUUUUCAAUUUACAAUUCUUUGGUUGUUGAAAUAGAGAUUUAUUUGAGUUAAUCUAAUUACAGAAUUUGUUUGAGAUUUAUAAUUACGGAAUUUACCAAUUAUUCGCAUAAUCGAAUAUGUUAUAAACAUAUAUUUAGUAUAUAAUAAUACCAAAAUCAACCCGUGCGUAGAGUCUAUAUUUUUAUUUUAGAAUCUCAAUAUUUUAUUUUAAAAUAUUACGUGCACAAUCUAUUAUUCGUUAAUUCUAAAAUUGCUUGCGGAAUCAAAUUUUCAAAUAUUUAGAGGUGUCGAACCAUAUGUAAAUGUUCUACACUAUUUUUAAAUAUUCCAAAUUAAAAUCUUUAAAUUUUUUUUGUAGUUUAUAAAAUUAUGAAUUUCAAAAAACAAAUUACAUGAAAUUAAAUAUAACUAUUCAAAUAGUUAUAAGGAUCAAAACUCAUUUUAUCAUAUAAUAUAUUAUAUUUAACCCGAUACCUAUUAUAAAUAUUUUUAAAAAUAAUCAAAUUAGAGUAUUUAUAAUUUUUAGCUUUUUGAACUAUUAAGUAUUGAUGAUAUUCUCUAAAAAUAUCAAGUAAAACUUAUUUUAAAUGUUGCAAAGUAAAAUAUUUAAAUUUUUAUUAUAGUAUAUAAAAGGGAGACUCACAAAAAUGCCCCUUUUUCAAUACCCCUUUUCAAAAAUGCCCCCUUUGGAUAUCCAUUUUUAAAAAUACCCCUUUUAUGUACAAAAUGACUAAAUUACCCUUCUUUUAAUAAAAGAUAUCAUAAAUAUAUAAGGAAAUAUAACAAAAUUAGGUCCACAAAAUACAAAAUAUUUUUUGGCGGGAAAAGUGAUCCCCCAAUUUUUCCCGCCAAAACACUUGUAAAAAUUUGUAAAACCUUUAAAAUACCUUGUAAAAUUUUCCCGUAAAAUUUUUUCCCGCCAAAAAUUUUUUUUUGCGGGAAAAGUGAUUCCGCAAAUUUUUUGGCGUUAAAUUUUUGGCGGGAAAAAUUUACUGGGUAUUUUAAAGGGUUUUUACAGGGUAUUUAUAAGGUUUUACAAUGUAUUUUAAAAGUGUUUAUAAGAUAUUAUAAGAUUUUACAAGUUAUUUUAUAAGGUUUUACAAGUUAAAAUAAGGUUUUACAAGUUUUUUAUAAGGUUUUACAAGUUAUAAAUACCUUAUAAAACCUUAUAAGUACCUUGUAAAACCUUUUAAAAUACAUUGUAAAACCUUACAAAACACUUGUAAAUACUCCGUAAAACCUUUAAAAUACCUUGUAAAUUUUUCCCGUCAAAAAAAUUUCGGCAAAAAAAUUGCGGAAUCACUUUUCCCGCAAAAAAAAAUUUUUGGCGGGAAAAUUUUUUGGCGGGAAAAAUUUUUACGGGAAAAUUUUACAAGGUAUUUUAAGGUUUUUACAAGUGUUUUGGCGGGAAAAUUGCGGGAUCACUUUUCCCGCCAAAAAAUAUUUUGUAUUUUGUGGACCUAAUUUUGUUUCAAAUAAGGGUAAAAUGGUCAUUAAAAAUUAAAAGAGGGCAAACUUAAAAAUGGACUCUCAAAAGGGGCAUUUUUUAAAAGGGGUAUUGAAAAAGAGGCAUUUUUAACAAUUUCUCUAUAUAAAAUUAUGCAUUCCAAAAAAAUAACUGUAUAAAAUCGAAUAUAAAUAUUCAAAUUCUGACCCGUUGCUCAGUCGAAAUUUUUGGUGACAUUAUUUUUGCGUAAAAGAAAUAUAUUACUCAAGUCUGAAUUUUUGACCCGUUUAAUUGUUUCCUUUAUAGAUUGAACAAUUUAUAUGCGUUUUUAAAAAUUCAAAUCUUGGCGUAUGUAGAAAAAAAAUUACUUUUUUUUUUUAUUAUGUAGAUGAUAUGAUGAUUUAUUUGUUUCAUAUUAAUAUAAUCAUAUUAAGAUGAGAGGUGAAGUUUAAUGAUUAAUAACAAAUUAAUAUGGUAAGUUGGAUAUCAAAUCUUAUAUGUUCAUUUGCAUUGGUCAUUUAAAAAAAAAAACAGAUUUUCGUUUUAUAAUUUAUUUAAAUUAAUUAAAUAACAUAAAUUAGUAUUUUACUUGUUUAUCCUUAAUAAAUUGAAUGAAAUUUGUUCUAAAAAAAGAUUUUUGUAAUGGCAUUCUUAAGUAAAUUCUUACAAAAGAGAAGGUUAGUUAAGGAUAUCUUAUAAAGUGUACUCCCCAAAUAAUAGUAUAGGAUGUCUCAUACGUAAAAAAAUAAAAUUUGGGACAAAAAUUGUAAAAGAAGUUAAAACAUUGAUAAAAGAAAGAAAAUUGAUAAACUGUCCGUCAUUUACUAGCCAACUAGAUUUUAACCCGUGGUACACUGCGGGAUGAUUUAAUUUUAAAGUUAAUAUAAAAAUAUUUUGUAAAUUGUAUCUUCUUAUAACAUAUUUAUUUAUAUUAGAGUUUACAAUUGUUAUUAAGUAACGGUAUACCACGAGUCCACGAGACAAUUAUUAAUAAACUGAGGAUUUAACCCGUAAUUAAAGCGGUAUAUAAAUAUUGAUUCAAAUUCGUCCGCCAUAUAAAUCCUUUCAGAACCCGUUCCAUAAUUUCUUAACCCGUCCCGUGAUUUGUUUUUAUUUUAAAAUUUAAUGAUUAUUUAUUAUAUAUAAAAGUUUACAAAUCAUAUUAUUCUCUAAGACAUUUAUAUUUUAAUAAACUAAAGAUUUAAUAUGUAUUAAAGCGGCAUGUUAAUGAUAUUUUAAAAUUUUAUAAAUAUUGUUAUUAAGUAACAUUAUACCACGGGACAAUUUUUGGUUUUAUACAAUCUUUUCUAAAUGAGACUGAUUUAAUAUGUCUAAUAUUUGUGGUAUUAAAAAAAAAGAUUUAAUCCGUAUUGAAGCGGCGGAUUAAUGAUAUUUUAAUCUUUUUAUUAUUGUUGAUUCAAAAACCCGUCCCGCCAAACCCGUCCGGCCAAAAAACUCAUUUAUUUUAUUAAUGUUCUUAUUUAUGAUAUGAUUCUGAAUCAUUGUCUAAAUAUUUUGAUCGAUGUAGAACGUUGAACACACACUUUCGUCAAUUGGAUAAUAUAUGUCCGUUUUUUAAAUUUCGAAUCACAGUAUAUGCAGAAAAAAAUUGAUUUUUUUUUUACUUUAUGUAUUAUAUGAUGAUUCGAUACAGUUAAAAACAAAUCAAACAAAGAUGAUAGGAGAAUCAUAAUUAUAAAUCUUAAUCAAAUCUUCUAAAUAUCUAAAUUAUUAAAUAUGGAAUAUCCGGUGUAUGAGUUGAGUUAAAUAUAACCCUACCCAACAAAUUUUUUGUGAAGGAAUUUUAAAAACGGGUCGGGUAUCUGAUAUAUCCGGAAGCAUUUUUACCCAUCCGUCACCAAAGUGUUGCAAAAAUACUAGUAUAGAUGAAUUAGAUCUGGAAAAAAAAAACAUAUUUGGACAGUGAAGAAAAGAAUUCGAUACACUCGUAGAAACGCGAAAGGAAAAAGCAAAAGCCAGAAUAGAUCACACAUUCUCAAAACUCACUUCUUCUUCUUCACUCUCUUAUAGAGAUCACAGUUCCUUGUCUGGAUCUCUGUCGGCAGAUUCUUUAGGUUCUGCUCGAAAUCUGGGUUUUUAGUGUUUAAAACCGAUUCAGAAAUCGUGGGUGGAGUUGUAGCGAAAGAUGGGGCGUUGGCAGCCGGUGGAUCACCGGCGGCGAGGUAGAAGGAGAUUGUCGAGUUGGAUAUGGUUUCUCCUUGGUUCUUUCUCUGUCGCUGGAUUAGUUCUCUUCAUGGUUCAGCAUUAUCACCAUCAACAAGAUCCAUCACAGCUUUUAUUUGUAUGUCUUUCUCUCUUAGUUUCAUGGAUUUGAUUGCUCUGCGCUUGAUCAUCCCUCAUGAAAAAUUGUGGAUCUUGUUGUGCUUUUUGAAUCCACUGGAAUUGUAACCUAAUGAAAUUAGGUUUCCUUAUUCGAUCGGUCUAUGACUAUGAUGGAAUCAGUGAAGUUUCCGAGUUGAAGUAUCUUCAAUUUGAUGAUUUUAAGCUCCCAAUUGAGUAUUGAAUGUCUGAACCUCUGUUUUCGAAAUCUUCGGAAAGUUUUUGUUCAUGAAUUACUACUUGUGGCUUGAAGAUAUUGUGGCUGUUGUAGUUUCUUAUUGAUAUUGUUUGUUGGUUUUGGUUUCAAAUAUUUUCUUAAUGUGAGUGCAAAAUGAUGACAAUGUUAAUAUGUCGUAGAUCAGAGUUCCAGAUGGGAAGGAUUUGCAGUAGUUAGUUAGUUAUAUCAUAAAUUGGUGAAGUUCAUGUUGAUUUUAUUUACUAAAGAUAAGACAUUGGAUGAGUGUUCAUAACUUAUGGAGGACUUACUCUGAUCUUUUCAUCUUUGACAGGAGAGAGACACGAGAACCGAAAUGGUAUCCCCUACCCGUUUAAACUUCACGGAAGAGGUCACAAGUGCUUCCUCAUUCUCUAGGCAGUUAGCAGAGCAAAUGACACUUGCCAAGGCUUAUGUUUUUAUAGCUAAAGAGCACAAUAAUCUUCAUUUAGCUUGGGAAUUGAGUUCUAAGAUCAGAAGUUGUCAGCUUUUGCUCUCGAAAGCUGCAAUGAGAGGACAACCUAUUUCGUUAGAUGAGUCAAAACCGAUUAUUAGUGGUCUAUCAGCUCUUAUCUACAAGGCUCAAGAUGCACAUUACGACAUAGCCACCACAAUGAUGACCAUGAAAUCUCACAUCCAAGCCCUUGAAGAACGUGCAAAUGCAGCUACCGUUCAAACCACAAUCUUUGGGCAGUUGGUUGCUGAGGCACUACCAAAGAGCAUCCACUGUCUGAUGAUAAAGCUCACAUCUGAUUGGUUAAUAGAGCCAUCUCGCCAUGAACUAGCAGAUGAGAACAGAAACUCACCUAGACUUGUCGACAACAACCUUUACCAUUUCUGCAUCUUCUCGGACAACGUUAUUGCCUCCUCGGUUGUUGUUAAUUCAACUGUCUCAAAUGCUGAUCACCCGAAACAGCUUGUUUUCCACAUAGUGACGAAUCGAGUGAGCUACAACGCUAUGCAGGCCUGGUUUCUGAGUAAUGACUUCAAGGGCUCAGCUAUAGAGAUCAGGAGCAUAGAGGAGUUUUCUUGGUUGAAUGCUUCGUAUUCUCCUGUUGUUAAGCAACUGCUGGACACAGAUGCAAGAGCUUACUAUUUCGGGGAACAGACAAGUCAAGAUACGAUUUCCGAGCCAAAAGUGAGGAACCCGAAGUACUUGUCAUUACUGAACCAUCUCAGAUUCUACAUUCCCGAGAUCUAUCCACAGCUAGAGAAGAUCAUUUUCCUAGACGAUGAUGUUGUUGUUCAGAAAGAUUUGACACCACUCUUCUCCUUGGAUCUGCACGGAAACGUCAAUGGAGCUGUGGAAACAUGUCUUGAAGCCUUUCACCGUUAUUACAAGUAUCUAAAUUUCUCGAACCCACUCAUCAGCUCAAAGUUCGACCCACAAGCAUGUGGAUGGGCUUUUGGUAUGAACGUCUUUGAUCUGAUCGCUUGGAGGAAAGCAAACGUGACUGCUCGGUACCAUUACUGGCAAGAACAGAACAGAGAACGAACGCUUUGGAAACUCGGGACACUCCCUCCAGGUCUACUGUCUUUCUAUGGUCUCACAGAGCCACUGGAUAGAAGAUGGCAUGUCUUGGGCUUAGGUUACGAUGUGAACAUCGAUAACCGUCUGAUAGAAACCGCAGCUGUGAUUCACUAUAAUGGUAACAUGAAGCCUUGGCUAAAGCUGGGCAUUGGUAGGUAUAAACCUUUCUGGUUAAGGUUUUUGAACUCGAGCCAUCCUUAUUUACAAGAUUGUGUCACAGCUUAAAGCAAAAGACUAAAGAGUUGAGACUAAUCCAUAUCACAAGAUUCUUGAUUUCUUAUACACUUUAAAGAUUCUUUUUUUUUUGGAAUAUUGUAGAUCUCAGAAAGUUUGUCAAAUUCAGAUUUCCUUCUGAAGACUGUUUUUUUUUUUUUUUUUUUGGGUCUGAAGAGAAAGUUAUAAUCACACAUUAGAGGGUCCCAUAAUGUACUUACUAGAUCCUGACCCGCACGAAUGUGCGGGAGAAAUUUUUUUAAUGAAUGUCUUUACAAAAAAUUUGUAUUUAUAUAUUAUUUUGUUGGUUAGUGAAUUAUAUAAUAGUAUAGAUACCCUAAACUUAGCAUAAUAAUUGUAGAAUUAUGUUUUGUGUUUUAAAAAUAGUUUGGUGCAUAAGUUUGUGUUUUCUAUUUGAUUAGUUUUAAAUUUAGAAUUGAAAGUUGAGAGUCAGAUUUAAGUAAUUUGAUAUGUGUUUUUUUAAAAUAUAUAAAUUGGUGCAUAACAAAUAAUUUGAACAGUUAGAGAAGUUAUGUGUCUAAAAGUUAUUAUACAAAUGUUAAAAAUUGAAAGAAUGUAAUAUUUUAAAAUUUAUAAAUUAAAUAUUUGGUAAUGCAACAUAAUUGUUUAUAAAUUACUAUUCAGUAAUUCUCAAACAUUUUUACCGAAAUAUAAUUUACUGGCACAAUAAUCAAACCGAGAUAUUUUUUUGUGGGCGGAAUAUAAUGUUAAUGUUGACCCAAUUAUAAAGCCUCCUUCACCCAUUUAAUAUUCGUUUAAAUAAAUUGAUAUUUAGUAUAUUAAUGAAUUUUAAUUUAUUUAUUUGGACAGAUUUAUUUUAUAUUUUAGAACAAUCGUUAUUGUCCUUGUUGCUUCUUACUGCCUAACACGUGUCUGAGUGAAGAUAUCUCUUCUUCUUCCUUAACGUAUCAUCGACUGGACUUUUAAUGGGCUGCUUAAUUUUGUAAACCCAUUAUGUACUCUUGUUGAUGUAUGUUGUCUUAUAUCAAUAAAAUUCAGAGAAAAAAAAAAAGAAUAAUCGUUGUCUCAUCUUUAAAAAAAAAAAAAAACCCACCGAACAAACGUAAGAACUUGGCUCGAUCGAAGAAUCAAUUGCGACAGCUAUUUCGUCUCCGUUUAUACUGUGUUGCAAAUCGUGAAUUCUUUAAAGAGGUAAAGUUGCUAUUGAAUCAGAUCUAUAGUUUUACUGCCUCAAUUCCCAAUCUGUGAAUUUUUAUGUUUGAAUAGAGAUCCUUGUCCAAGGAUUGUCAAGAAACCAGAUCUUCUACGGGUAACUAUUGUCAAUUGAAUAUCCAAAUUUUUGUUUUCACUGAAUUAAAUCAACUAACACGAAUUUGAUUUCGUGUAGUUUUUCUCGUUAGCUACAGAAGCAAGAUGAACAUUAAAAUUCCAGUUUACCGAGCUUUUUUUUUUUAAACCCAUCAAUUUUUUACAGUAUAUUUAUGUUAGCUGAAAAGAUUUCUACUUAAUUUAGCUUCUAUAUAUAUUUCAAAUAUAAUGAUGUUAAUGGAAGAAAGGGAUAAACAAAGAAAGAAAAACUGAUACGAUUAUUAGAAAACAAUAGCUAUUACCAAAAAUUUAAACAUGGAAUGUAUUCAGGUCAAGUAUAAAUUGCGAGUAACCUAAAAAUGUGGAGGAGGCUAUAUCACGUUUUGUCAUUGGAGCUAUUCAAAAAUCUAUUGGUUGAAGGUUAGUGUCUUAGUGAGAUCAUAAUUUAUACACUUUGUUUAUUAGAUUUGCAUAUUUACCUACUAUUAUUGAGUCUACUUGUGGUUACUUAAUAUAGAAAACUUUUUUUUUUCUCUAGUAUGUUAAAAUGAAAGUACUAAGGAGGGGGUAUUGGGUGAGAGAAUUUAAUAGAAUAGAAUUGAAGACAUAAAUUAUAGAUUUUCGAGUAUUGUAAAAGAUUUUCAAAUCUUUUUUUUCAAUUCUAACAAUUUACCUUACAGUAUUUUAAUAGAAUUUAGAAGUAAAAAGAUAUUAAUGAAUUACUAGAAUUUUUGUUUCUGGUUUCUAUCAGCCACUAUGCCCAAACCCUAAAAACUCUGUCUUUCUCUUUCACCCUCCCUGAUUAUACCCAUAAACGACAUACGUUGACGUUUACAUGAAAUGGAAGAGAGAUCUCUUAUGUAACAUCAACGAUGACGUCAUCACCACCAUUCAUUUCCUCUCUGUUUCGCUUUCUCUCUCGAUUCACACACUCUCCCCUCAUAUAUAAUCUAAUGGAUGAUGAAUUGAUGAUCCGACAACGAGAAAUUAGCCGGAUCGUGAAAUCACAGAUUAUGGAUGUGUUAGAUGAAUACACACUCUCCCUCAGAUUUGAGCUUUUGUCGAUGAUUGAAGCAAAUCGAUGAAAGAGAAAAAGUAAAGAUUAUUAGAUAAAGGAGGAUGGAUAUGUUAAGAUGUUCUAUAAAUAAGAGAUGCAAAGUAUUAAAAAUUCUGCCAUUGUUUGAUAUGCAUUAAUCACCUUUACACGAAUGAACGAUUUUCACUUGGAUUCUGCAUCUUGUCUUGAAAGGUUUGAUGUUAGCAAGAUUGGUGAUAUAAGAUUUCAUCCAUUGUUAGAAUUGAGAAACGAAGUAGCAAUAUUGAAGUAGCAAGAUUGGUCUUUUGCAAUCAUUUUUAAAAAAGAAGUAGCAAAAGGUUAGGGGUCGUUUGAAAGCUUAAUGAGUAUGGAAAAUGGUAUUAGACAUUCUAUAUUUAUAGGGAAAGGAGGUCGGCUAGGGUUAAACCUAUUAGAUCAAAAGAAUAUAUUUGCAAAUCCAUUUUUUAAAUAAAGUUUUAAGGUAUAUACUUGAUUUGAGAGGUAUAGAAUAUAUAGUUAUUGUUAUAUUUGGAAAAUAUAUUAACUGAAUUCGAAUAAGAUUGAAAACAACCUUCAAAUUUGGAUAUUUUUGAAACGAAUUAUUGUUACCAUUACUAUCUAUCCUUAUUUCGUAUUCGAAAUUAAAGGGAUACGUUUGUUUUGGUAAUAUCUUUAAAUUCGUAAAUGUCAUUUUUGGUUUCCAAUUAAUUUUGUUCAGAUUGCCAAAAUCUCAACCGACCGGAUCAAGCAAAGGAUCGAGCCCAUGAUCCGUGUGUCGACCCGCCAAAGAACCCCAUGAUCCGCGUGUUUAUUCGGUUCAGUAGCCCAAGAUCCGUGGGUUACUUCCUUUCAAAUUAUUGUUUUACCCUUUUAUGUGUUUUUUUUUACUCUUAGAAUGCAAAAUUCUUAAUGGCAUUCUUUGUAAUUUUUUACCCUUUAUAAGGUUAUUUAUUAUCUAAUGCUUUCCAAUUAAUAGUAUAGAUGGUCGAAUAGAUUGAUUACUUACAGGGAUAAUUUAUUUUUGGCAAGUUUUUAUUUUUAUUAUUUUUGGCAAGUUGUCUGCGUGUGCAUGAAUUUUGUCAUAAAAUAAAUAUCUCUAUUAUUUUAUUCUUAAAAAUAUUAUUACACCAAUGAAAUAAUAAGAAUUAUGCUUAUAACAAAUAUCCAACCAAUAAAAUAGUUAAGUUUUUAUUUCUUGGGAUAUUAUUAUAUUAACGAUCAAUUAACUUUUUUUUUUUUUUUAUUAUUAUUGCAAAUUCAUUCCUGUAAUUUUUUUUAAAGGAAACUGCAUAGCAUAGUUACCAAACCAACAAGAGCAAAAAAUCACAUAUAACACGUUUGUGCGUCAAAUAAUAUAGCCUCACCAGUCACCACCAACCUACUUAUCUAUUCUCUCUCACAACAAACUAUAUAUUAUAACAAACAACAAACUUAAUUUGGUAUCAAUAACAAACGAGUAUCAAUCUCUUAAUCACAUAGCCAAAAAAAUAAACUCUCUAUAAUGGAAGCAAAAACCAUAAACGACGCCGUCGUAUCAGAGUCGAAUCACGAGUUAGCAUUUUCGUCGCCAUCAGAAUUCGAGAAGAACCAGAAACAUUACCAAGAAAUCAUCGCUAAGCUUCCUCACAAAGAUGGCUGGAGACCAAAAGAUCCUUUCGUCGAGUACGGUGGUCACUGGUGGCUACAACCUCUCCUUGAAGGUUUACUUCACGCCCAGAACUUCUUCAAGGCACGACCCAAUGAUUUUUUCGUCUGCAGCUACCCAAAAACCGGCACCACUUGGCUCAAAGCCUUAACUUUCGCAAUCGCGAAUCGCUCCAAGUUCGACGAUUCAACAAACCCUCUUCUCAAACGCAACCCACACGAGUUUGUCCCUUACAUCGAAAUCGAUUUCCCGUUUUUCCCAAGUGUUGAUGUUCUUAAAGACCAAGGAAACACGCUUUUCUCGACUCAUAUCCCUUACGAUCUCUUGCCUGAAUCAGUUGUGAAGUCCGGUUGCAAGAUUGUUUACAUAUGGAGAGACCCAAAGGACACGUUUGUGUCGAUGUGGACUUUUGCUCACAAGGAGAGAUCACAACAAGGAUCACUCAUUUGCCUUGAGGAAGCUUUUGAUAAGUACUGUCAAGGUUUAUCUGCUUACGGUCCUUAUCUUGAUCAUGUUUUAGGGUAUUGGAAAGCUUACGAAGCAAACCCAAAUCAGAUUUUGUUUCUCAAGUAUGAGACUAUGAGAGCUGAUCCAUUGCCAUAUGUGAAGAGAUUAGCUGAGUUUAUGGGUUAUGGAUUCACAAAGGAGGAAGAGGAGGAAAAGGUUGUUGAGAAAGUUGUGAAGCUUUGUAGCUUUGAGACUUUGAAGAAUCUUGAAGCUAAUAAAGGUGAGAAAGAUAGAGAAGAUCGUCCUGCUGUUUAUGCUAACAGUGCGUAUUUCAGGAAAGGGAAAGUUGGGGAUUGGCAGAAUUAUCUGACCCCGGAGAUGGUGGCUCGUAUUGAUGGAUUGAUGGAAGAGAAGUUUAAAGGAACUGGCUUUCUUACUUCAACAACAUGAAUGUGAUCUUCUUUUGUCUUGUUUUUGAGCUAUGACUGUCUAAUUCUUAUGAUCUUUAUGCUGGUUUAUAGCAUAAGUUGCUUUUGUUUAUUAGUAUAGUUUCCCUUUGAAGUGUUGUAUUAUUGCUGAGUAUAUCUAUCAAUAUAUGUAUGGAAUUAUUGGUCAUAAACUAAUGAUGUUUUCUUUCACAGAUGCAAAGACACAUAGAAAUAAAUAUGCAGAAUCAGUAAGAGAAAAAACAGAGCAACCUCUGUUUUACACCAAGACCAAAAGGGAAGAAACAUAUCACUUGUAGUUGUAAUUGUUUAAGCAAAUUUGGUGUAUUUGACGCUGAGUGAGUAUAAGAAAAUUGUUUAAGCAAAGUUAGUGUCUUUGACAUUGAGUGUGUAAAAGAAACAUAUCACUUGUAAGUUGUAACUGUAUAAAUCUUUUGAGGUCAUCAACUAAAUCAACAUAAAAAAUGGUACAAGAAGAAUUUAAUGAUGAUUUUGACAAUAACAAUCCUCUCCAUUAUCAUUUUUACAACGCUCAAUGCCUCAAUCUGUAGUUUUUUUGGUAUCAAUGUUAUGAUCAAAUAGCAUGAAAGAGAUGUUUUAAAAAUAUAUCACCAACGUUGCUACAUUUGUUUGCUUAAUCCUUGCGGUGAAUAAGUUUCUCUUUCCAAAAGUACUAAUUUCGAGUUUUGUCCUUUACGAUUUUGCGCUUUAACAGCAAAUAGUACUUACAAAUACCAAAUGGACGAGCCAUGUAAAAACAAAACGAUAAAACUGGAAACUUAUAAAAUCAUCUUUCCAAAACAUGAAGAAAGUUCUUACACAAAAACAUCAAAGCUGCUCAAUUUUGAUAUGUGUCGAACAGAGACUAUCGAGUAAUACCCAGUAGUAGUCCAUGACCAGCCUUUAGUUCUUAAAAGCCAAAAUUUCCGAUCUUCGGUGUAUCGCUUACGAAAGCUCUCGCCUUUUCAUUUUCGCCAAUUGGGCAAAUUUACUAUUGAAGUUUUUUUUAAAAAAUGAAGGCGAUUUUCAACCGUAGAGUCGUCGUCGACUCAUCUUCGCGUCUCACCAAGCUGCUCACGAACCCAACUACUCAUUCUCACCCGAAUCGUCAAACUUUCAUUUCGCUCUAUAAACCGAACCAGAGCCGCCAUUUUCGAACACACUAUCUUCCUUCAACCCCGUCGUCUCCUCCCGUGAGCCGGUUUGACCCUUCUCAGCUAUGGCGAUCAGAGACAAUUCGUGGGUUUUUCGCAACCGCUUUAGGGAACAAAGCCGUGAAAUUGGGAAAUCUAGUGGAAUCAAGAGUUGGGUUCAUUGGUUCUCAGUUUCCCAAAAAGGGUUUCGAAUUCGAGAGGUUUUCUGGGUUUCAAAGGCGUGGCUGGUAUGUUAGUGUCCCUCAUCGUCCCAAAUUUUCUUACAACCUUAUUGAGAUUUGAUUUGGGUUUCACUUGUGUCUUUUUUACCUUUUGACAGGAAGCAUUGGCUUCAAGGAUUAUCAGAUCGUGACGUCGUUCUUGGAUUAGUUAUAGCUAACACUGGUGUGUUUAUGAUGUGGCGUGUUUUCAAUCAACAGUUCAUGAUGAAGAAUUUCAUGGUUAGACCUCAAAGCUUACAACUUUAUAGACAUUUCGUUCCAGUACAUGCUUGUUUAUGGAGAAUUAGGCUCUAGAUGUCUUUUAUAUGUAAUGCUGGUGAUAACAUAGUUGAUAAUGACUUUGUUGAUUCAUAUUUUGGGCAGAUAUCGUUGGAUAAUUUCACGAGUGGGCGUCUACACACUCUGAUAACUUCAGCAUUCAGUCAUAUUGAUAUUGGACAUAUCGUCUCAAACAUGAUUGGACUAUACUUUUUUGGAACCAGUGUAACACUUCUUUUCUCUUAUGAUUUGUAUUUGUUGAGUGAAGCACUGCCUGUCACUGCUAGUUUUUUGAAAAGUUUUGAUAGAGAUAGUGAAUUGUUUUCUUUAAUCGCUUACUUCUUUAUUUUUCGGAUUCCUUCUUUUGCUAGAUCGCUAGAAACUUUGGCCCUCAGUUCCUUUUGAAGCUGUACCUUGCUGGAGCGCUUGGUGGCUCUGUUUUCUACUUGAUUCACCAUGCUUAUAUGGCUACAACAUCGCCCAAGGUAUAGAGCAACCAGCAUUAAAACAUGUGCAUUGUGCAGUUAGUUUCCGUUAUCUUAGUUCAUGCUAGAUCCUCAGAUAAGUUAGUUUUGCAUUUGAACUAUGAUGUUGUGUGGGAAGACUUUUCCUUUUUAUAUUGGGUGGCUAAUCAUAUGCGGUGGACAGGGCCAAGGAGCUUUCAUGAGGGAUCCAUCGAGAACCCCGGGACUGGUAUGUUUGAAUUUACUAGUUUAAUUAAGAGAGCAGUGGCAUGCAAUCUUUGAUUUGGUUAUCUGACAACGAAAUUAUGAUUAUUGUUAACUCUUGACCCCCUUCAUUCAUUCUAUUUCAACAUGUAUUUGCCAUAAAGAUCCAUUGUUAUGUAUUUAUUGGCCGCAAGUGAGAAUGAUUUGAAGAACUCUUUUCUGUUGUAUAAAAGGGCGCGAGUGGAGCCGUGAACGCCAUCAUGCUGCUCGAUAUCUUCCUGCAUCCAACAGCUACUCUAUACUUAGAAUUCAUCAUUCCAGUUCCCGCAAUGUUGCUUGUAAGUUUUAAGCUCUCUGUCUCAAUCAUUCAGGCUUAAAAAUCUCUUCUUAAGUCAACUAAAACUCACUCUUCUUUAUCUUUCAGGGUAUCUUCCUCAUAGGAAAAGACAUUUUAAGGAUAACAGAGGUAACCUAAUAUGACAUUGCAAAAAUUCAAAGUAUGUUUGGAACUAUCUGAUGAUAUUUUUUCUUUAUAAACGACAAACAAUCUGGACAUUGCAGGGGAACAGUAACAUAUCAGGUUCAGCUCAUUUGGGAGGAGCUGCAGUUGCAGCCAUCGCCUGGGCUCGGAUUAGGAAAGGCCGCUUCCGCUUUUGACUUGACCUUGCUUGGUUUUGGUCAUCUUUAGAGAAAUCUUUCUUUAAAUGAUUUAAGUAACUUUGAGUCUUUGAACCAUUAACAAGAUUUGGUCUCUGCUUGGAUAUUUCAUAUUUCUGUUUUAAGUUAAAGAUAUUUAACUAUUUAAAAAAAUCUUGAGGACAAGAAAUUGAAUUAUAUAUAUAUAUUUUUUUUUCUCAACGAAUUAUAUUGCUUGACUUAUGUAAAUAAACGAAAAUAUAAUGUUAAAUAUUCAAAUUAAAUGUUCCGAUAACAUAAAAAAAUCCUGAUUAAAAUAUGGAUUAUUGAAAUAGAAUUGUUUAGUGCUCAUAACACGAAAAGAAAGAAAUAAAAGUACUAAGACCUUUGUUGAUCAAAAAAAGAAAUACUAAGACCUCAAAUAAAGACGGUUCCGUAUUAAAAAUACUAAGACCCCAAAUAAAAACUAUUCCGUAAAAAAAUUAUUAAGACUUCAAAUAAGAUCGUUCCAUAUAGUACGUAACGAAUAUAAUAAUAACAUAAAAUAUUUGUUUAUAUAUGUUUUCGCAGUUAUCCAUAAGUUUUCAUUCCGAACCUAAUUAUCUUUUGUAGAUUUUAAAAUGUUUUAUUUUAAUGAUUUUUUUUAUAGUUUAUGAUUCCAAACUUAAUUAUGUUUUUUAAUGGUUUAUUUUCCGAACCUAAUUAUCUUUUAAAAUCUACAGUAGAUUUUAAGUAGAUUAUUUUAUGGUUUAAGUGGAUUCAAGCACAAUUAAUUGUUAAAAAAACAAAAGAAGAUCCUUGUAACGUAAAUCCGUAAGUCUCGGGGCCCAUUUCACUAUUUUAAGGGACUUAUAACCAACCAGUAAAUACUCGACACGUCAUAAAAGUGCCACGUAAUAAAGUAAAGUGUUUUUUUUUUUUCUUUUUGUUUUCUCUUCGCCAGUUUUUUUUUUUUUUUGGUAAGUUCUUCGCCAGGUUUUUUGUUUGUUCUCUUCUUUAAUUUAUUUUUCCGGUAACCGAAAAAAAAAAACCUAAGCAAAAAAAGGAAGCAGCUUUAUCAUCUGUAAUCGCCCAUAAGAUAUAAUUUGGAUUUCGGAUUUUCUUUCUUCCUCAUUCCUCCUCCUCAAAAAGACCCAUUUCAUUUUCCCGCACUUUCUCACCUAAACGGAAGGAAUCAUUCUCGCCCGGAAAAUGAGGUGGGAAAGGGUCCGACAACAACAGCAACAAGUGGGUCUCGGUGACUCUUCCUCCGGGCCCGGUAAGAGGUGGGGACACACUUGUAACGCCAUUAAAGGAGGUAGCUUUCUCUAUGUUUUCGGUGGCUAUGGCAGAGAUAAUUGCCAAACCAAUCAAGUCCAUGUUUUCGACGCUGGUUAGUUCUCUCCUUCCACAUCGUCUCUGUUAUCAAAAAAUGGCGGAUUUGGGUUGAUUGCCAUUUCGGAUUUCGUUUCUUUCUCUGUCUCGAUUCUAGACAAUCAUCUCUUUGUUUAAUCUUGCAUGUGUGCUUUAGGAUAAGAAAUUACACUCUGAUUUGUUUUUUGUUUGUCAGAUUUUGGUAUGAGAAAUAUCCCCAUUUCUCUAUAUCCAAUUUUGUAUUUAAAGCUUUGUCCUUUAAUUCAUUUACAUUCAUCAUACUUGAAUGAUUUCGGUUUGACUCUUUUGAUGAAGCUUUUUGUAUUGGUAUGGACUUGAGUUGGUCUGUUAUGGUUUACACUUGCUCUCACUGUGGUGAUCCUUGUUGCAGCAAAGCAGAUAUGGACUCAGCCAAUGAUCAAUGGCACACCUCCUCCUCCAAGGGACAGUCACAGCUGUACAACAGUCGGUGACAAUCUUUUUGUGUUUGGUGGUACUGAUGGAGUUAACCCUCUCAAGGAUUUGUAUAUUUUAGAUACUUGUAAGCUUUCUCUUUGUAUAUUUUAAGUUUUGAAUUGUCCCUAUUUGAAGAAGUCAUUCUCACUUUGUUUGUUUGUUUUUAUUUGUGGUUAUAGCUUCACAUACUUGGAAAUGUCCGAGUGUUAGGGGAGAGGGACCUGAGGCAAGAGAAGGUCAUACCGCCACGCUGGUUGGUAAAAGGCUGUUUGUCUUUGGUGGCUGUGGGAAAUCUUCUGAUAUUAAUGACGAAAUCUAUUAUAAUGACGUUUACAUAUUUAAUACAGGUACUGUUUACUCAUGACUUUCUUCGAAUUGGCACGUUUCCAUAUUAUCAUCUCUUUUUCAUUGAUAAUGAUAAGGGACCUUAGAUAGAUUCUAAGUUAAAAACAAGUGCAAACCAUAUCCUUUCUUGCCUUAGUGUUGAGGUUUUUAAAUACUUUUUGUACUAAUUUUCAAGGAUGCAAGUAAGUUAAUCGGCUUUACGCUUGUGUAGAGACUUUUGUGUGGAAACGGGCUGUUACAAUUGGAAAUCCUCCAUCUGCGCGGGAUAGCCACUCUUGCUCAUCGUGGAAGAACAAACUUGUUGUUAUAGGUGGCGAAGAUGGACAUGACUACUAUCUGUCCGAUGUUCAUAUCCUUGAUACAGGUGAAAAAGCAUCUUCAAUUCAUGUUCUUUUAACCUUACGAGUGUAUGUCUUUUAUCUGAAGGUUAAUGUAGGUCUUUUUUUAACUUUCAGAUACACUCAUAUGGAAAGAGCUGAAUACUUCAGGGCAGUUGUUGACACCUCGAGCUGGUCAUGUUACUGUUUCACUUGGGAGGAACAUUUUUGUGUUUGGAGGGUUUACGGAUGCUCAGAAUCUUUACGAUGAUCUCUAUGUGCUUGAUGUCGGUAUGUAACUGAAAUAUCAUUUAAUAGCAAUAUAGAAUACUUGUGACUUAUGAGGUAGAUAUGCUUUGGUCCUUUCUUACUAUAAAGGUAAGAGGACCUGCCCUAUCCAAACAAAAUCUGCUCUGUUAAAGGUUUUAAGAUGAACAAUUGUAUCAAAUUUCAUGAGAAGGAAACCUGUAAAAGGCUUUCUAAAGUGUAUUAGUGUUAUAUUGGUUUCUUUGUCUUAAUUGUUCUUUUGAGAUCGAUAAUUACACAUUCACAUUGCUUUUUUUUGUUUCUUUGUUGCUCGUACCUGUAGAUACGUGCGUAUGGUCAAAGGUUCUCACCAUGGGAGAAGGACCAUCUGCUAGGUUCUCUUCUGCAGGGGCUUGUCUAGAUCCUCACAAAGCUGGUUUUCUUGUCGUUGUUGGUGGCUGCAAUAAGAAUCUCGAGGCAUUGGAUGACAUGUUCUACUUGCACACAGGUUACGGCAAACCCCUUUAACUCACUAAUUGCCAAAUCUAAUUCUUAGGUGGUAAUUCAUAGGGACAGACAUCUGGACAGCACUUUUCUCACUCUAAUCAUUUUUAUUUCUGGUUAAUAGGUCUUGGAUACGAUGCAAGAUUUGAUCAAAAUGUAGGGAGGUUGUCUCUAAAGAAGCAAUUGAAGAUAAAAUGCCAAGAACAAAGUCAUGCAAGUUCCUUGUACGAUAAAUCACUUGUCAGAAUCAAUAUGGAUCAUCAAGGUGUGUUUACGCAGACUCUGCGCUAGUCAAUAUUAUAUUGAAACCUACAAAGGUAGCAUUUUUUCUGUAGCAGAAACUCACUAGUUUGUGUAUGCUUGAUUUUAUUGUAGGAAGAGGAAAUUUUGGUUUGAACACUGGCCAAUUUAAUGAAGGAAAGAUGAUGUUUCAAGCCCGGAUAACCGAGAGUUACCCUGUUGGUUACACUAUGGAAACAAUGAUAGACGGAAAAGUGCUUCGUGGUGUUUUGUUCUCAAACAAGCGCAGCUCCGUUCUGGCGACCGAUCAAAGCUUUAGUAGGUGAGUGGUUAAAUUAAUCUUCUUCUUUCCCUGAUAUUCAGUUGGGUGCACCUUUUUGUCCACACCUGUAUUUGUUCUACAGAAAGAGGCCAGCUAUGUCGAACGGGGAUCAGGAUAACAGAUCAAAGAUAUCAANNNNNNNNNNNNNNNNNNNNNNNNNNNNNNNNNNNNNNNNNNNNNNNNNNNNNNNNNNNNNNNNNNNNNNNNNNNNNNNNNNNNNNNNNNNNNNNNNNNNNNNNNNNNNNNNNNNNNNNNNNNNNNNNNNNNNNNNNNNNNNNNNNNNNNNNNNNNNNNNNNNNNNNNNNNNNNNNNNNNNNNNNNNNNNNNNNNNNNNNNNNNNNNNNNNGAAGCGUCUUUAGAAUCUAGAAAUGCGAUAAUGAUAGAUGAUAGAGCUACCAAGACCGGACCUGGAGAGUCAUAGCUACAAAUACAAAGGUGGGCUAACUUCUUUUUAAUAAGUCAUUAUGAUUGAAUCACUAGGCCACAGAAGAGCAGAAGAAGCCAUUGCAUCUAAAACUAGUUGGGUCUAACUCUCUUCGUUUUGAGCAUUUAAUUUACAGAUGAGAGAUUCUCCGCUAUAGACAGAGGAACAACAGCAUGAACAACAUCAUUUCUUUUCCUGUACAUUAGUCUGGAGAUAGGGUGGGUUUAAUUUAGAAUCUAAGUUAGAUUAUCAUGGUGACUGGUGAGGAUGAUGAGGAGCUUACUCUGAGUUAGUUUUUUUUUUUCUUCUUCUUCUUCUUCUUCUCUGCAAUUUUCGUUUUUUCUUUUUUCCGGUUUAAUUUAACUUGCAAGCAAUGUUAUGCUUCCUCCCUCACAGUUUUUUUGUACAAUGAACUCGCUUAAUUGUCAUAAAAAAUGGUUUAUUUUAGAUUCUGGAGUCAUUCUUGUAAACUGGUUAUAUACCCUUGAUCAUUUAAAGGUUUUCACAUACUGAGUUUCUUGGUGUUUUGAUAAGAAGAGUCCCAACCAUCUUUAAUCUUUUCAUAGAAUGUGAUAUUGUUUGGUUCAUAUUUGACAGUCUCUGGCUCAGUAUUCACACAGUCCCUGUUUACUCUUUCUAGAGCUAGAGUUUGGUUGAUCAAUUCAGUAGGAAAUCAAAAUCUGGAGAUAACGUAGAAGAAAAGUCAAACUAGUCCUAGUUGGCAAUCCAAACUACUAAAGCAUGUGGUUCCUCCAUAUCCAACUAAUUUCGUUGUUGAUGAUUAGCAUGUGAUUAUGUCAACCUGUUUUCAUGUAAAAUUUUUAUACAGUUAAAACAAUUUUUUUUUUUUUAAUUUUCAUGUAACAACUAUCUUUGUUUUUUCUGAUCAUGUAAACAUAGAGAAGAAAACUUAUUUUUCAUUUACUUUGACUUCCUUUAUUUUGCAAUGUAUUUAAGAAAAUGGGAAGAAAUAAAAAGAAGGAUAAUUUUGAGAAAAUCUAAACAAGAAGACAGAAGUCACAUGCAGGGGGAGACAUCUAAAGAAGUAAUCACAUCCUACUUCCUUCCCACAUGGAUUCAUAUGAUUUGAGAGAAAGCGUCUGUAUCUCCAAUUCUCAUGAACAAUCUCUCUCUCAUUUCUAUUUUUAUUAUUCAUCACUUCUAUAUUAUUACUAAAGAUAAUCUAAAAUCUUGGGGCUUUUAGUCUUUAAGAGUGAGGGAUUGGAACAAACAAACAAAACCAACAAAUUCUUUCUUAUGAGGCUGUCUUUUUGUUUUGUUCUCUGAGCUGAACCAGAAGAAACAUUUUGCAGAGGUUCUUUUAUUCUCUCAUCUUCUUCUUCUUGGCUUGGCGGUUUCUUUCUUUUCCUUAGAUUAGUGAGAUUCUUGAAUGUACAUUCUCUGAUUCACAGUGAUCUUCUUCUGGAAUAUUAAGUUUUCCGACAAAAGGUUCUGUAAUAAUGGAGCUUGUCUUAUUCUUUUUGGGGUUGAGUGGGAUUUGGGAAUCUAGGUGUUGAAAAUAAGGUUCAAUAGAUUCAUAGGUUUCUGCUAGCCUAGACUUAAAACUUUUGAUUCUGAAUCAGAAAUCGAAUCAAAGAUCACUGUUUGAAGUUUUGAACUUUUGCUAUGAGUAGAGACCAAAAGGUGAUUUUUUUUUUAGUACCCAAUUUACCGUUUUUAAGAAAAUGCGAUUUUUUUCAUUUGUCGUUGAUAGGGAUUUAAGCUGUAAGCUGUAAUUUAGCUGGAGAGCAAUGACGUUCACAAUGAGCUUUGUCAGAGCCAAUUUUAUUGGAAUCUGAAUUCUUGAUAAAAAUGAUGAAUUUUUUGGAAUUAUAUGAAAGUUGGCAAGUGCCGUCAUUAUCAUUUAUCGUUCCAUGGUGGUUGCUAUUGAUGCAUAAAUAACGAAAGCUUACGUUUUUCCCAAAUUAGGAUUUACUGGAAGCACAAAAGAGAGUAGACACUGUCACUACAGAGGGAAGAGUUCAAAUUCUCUCCUUUUUUCACCAUUCAUGGCUGCGAAGCUUCUUCUUCAUACAUUGGCAGAUGAAAACUCGGAUCUGCAGAAGAAAAUUGGAUGUAUAAAUGGGAUUUUCCAAAUCUUUGAUCGCCACCAUGUUCUCACAAGCCGGCGUCAAAGUCUUACUUUAGGUAAUCAUAAUCCAAUAAAAUUAACUAAUAAAUAAAUGCUUAAUGUUCUAGAUCGUGUCUCUUAGUCGUUGACUUGUACAUGGCCAUAUUUUGUUACAAACGUUCUUUAUAAGUAUGUCUUUUUCAAUCUUCUUUCUUCUUUAGCUCUGUUUCUUCAUGAACUGUAAAGGUCUUGUCUGAUUCUUCUGUGAGGACUAAAAAGGUUUGUGCUUUCUUUGCUGAAUCUUAUCUGACUUUGCUCUGGUUUGUGAAAUGUCUGUUAGUUUUUGUUAAAAUGGAUUUGGGUUUUAUGUGGCUUCUCUUGGUAGCUUUUGACUUCUCUUAAUCUUAGACUCUCGAAGUUUCCAGAAUCUGCAAUGUUGAGGGGUUUAUUGGUAAAGAGAAUUUUGAGAAGAUCAUCAAACUUUGUUGAUGUUAUUUGCAGGUAAUGCACAUGUCAAUAGUAUCAACUUUGAAAGAGGCUCUGUUGAUGCAAUAUGUCAGCACAGAUCAGCAUUUCAGUUUCAAGACUCAAACCUUAUUAGUGGAAAUGGGUCGAGUGAGAAACUAACAAGGGUAUCAACAGAAUCUUCAAGGGUUUCUUUCUCAUCGUCGUGUUCAUCAUUUUCCCCAUUGUCUUCUGAGGUCAACAGAGAAGUACAGUUUGAGAUUUCUGCGGAUGACCGAGUUAUUUUUCCAGAAUCUCCUACAAGUGAUCCAGUGAUGAGCCAAGGAAGUGGUGCACGUAUGGGACUUGACCUUAGAGAUGUUGUUAGAGAUUCUAUGUAUAGAGAAGCUAGAGGGCUUUCUGAAGUAUGUAGGCAAAACAGAAGAGAGGAUUCUCCAAGACCCUAUGGUUUGAAGCAAUCCACGCCUGUCGAUUUCAAUGAGUCCUGCAGAGCUUUAGCCAAACUUAGAAAAACAUCUCAUCAUUAUUACAAUGAGGUUGAUAUGAAAGAUACAUCCCGUUACUAUGUUGAUUCUCGCGGAAAGUCGAAAUCCGGGAAGAAGCUCAAAGAGUUGCCUAGGCUUUCGUUGGACAGUAGAGACCACAUUGAUCUCAAAUCAGGUAAUUUGCUUUCUGAAAGUUUUAGCAGAAGCUCUAGCAUGAACAAAGUUUCAGGUAGCCCGAAACGGCCUCCUAGUGUUGUUGCAAAGCUAAUGGGCUUGGAAACAUUACCAAGUUCUCCUUUGAACAGAGAAAAAUUCAACAUGUUUGAUGAUAACAGUGAUCCAUUCUCAAGAUCAUUGAGGGAAAAUAGCCUGAACCGUUCUCUUCGGUUUUCUCCUAGCUCACCGAGAAGCUUAGGUAAGGACCCUGCUGCUUCUUCUUCUUCUCCAAGAUGGAGAAGCUCUGAAUUUGUUAUGAAACCCUUAUCAAGUUUGAGAUAUCCCAUUGAACCAGCUCCUUGGAAGCAAACUGAUAGAAACCGGUUUUCUCAAAAGCAAGCCUGCAGGUCUGUGAAAUCUCUGUCGCAGUCAAUGGAGGGAAGAUUGAAAGAUCUCGAGUUAAAACAUUCGGGAAAGGAUCUCAGAGCUCUUAAAGAUAUAUUAGAGGCAAUGCAAUCAAAAGGUCUCUUUGAUACUCGAAAGCAACCACAAUGCUCAAACUUGGAAGCUCAAAGAGAUUACGAACUGGCAGAUUCUACAACUUCUAACCAUGAUUCAAUAGACCUGCGAAACCCGGUGAUGCCAUCCAAUAUCAGAGGCCCAAUUGUGAUAAUGAAACCUGCCAGACUUGUUGAAAAAUCUGGUAUCCCUUCAUCAUCAUUGAUUCCCAUUCAUAGUCUAUCCGGUCUUAACAAGACCUGUAGAGAAGAACCUGCAAAUGCUAGAAGAAGUUCAACAAGUAGAAAGGCAGCAAAAGAUCGUAGUCCUGGAAACCAAAGAGCUGAACCAUGUAUCAGUUCUGAUAAGAUAUCUAGCAGCAGAAACGUGAGGUCUUCUCAGGUUUCCAAAGAAAGCACUUCAAAGAAUUCAGGACCUACAAGUCCAAAAUUGCAGCGGAUGAAGCAUGAGAAAGACAAGCGUUCUCGGCCACCAGCCUCUCCAUCUGAUUCAAGCAAAUUAAGAAAACAAAUAAACCGACAACCCGUGGAAUCUACUACUUCUCCUGGUGGUAGACGUAGUAGACCCAGGGAUCAGAGGAGCAUGCAACAAAAUGAUGGCCAACUAAGUCAAAUGAGCAAUAAAUCUAGGACUAAAACAGAAGCCCCCGUGAGUAUCGAAAAUGGUGGAAAGAGUCCAUCUGUAAUAGAGGCAGCCAAAGCUGUAGUCUCUAACUUAAUACAGAAUGUGAGUUGCUGUUUCUCAUACCACUGCUAAAUUGUUUGGUACUUUAAAUUUCAACUGCUAAUUUUCUACACAUUUGUUUCUGUUUACCCAGAAGUCCAGUCCAACGUUUAGUGAUGGAUCAUCAGAACAUCCAAGUCCAGUUUCUGUUCUCAAUGCAGAAAUCUACAGAGAGAUCAAACCAUCUCCUGUGAAAAUCCAAGCUAGUGAAGGCAGUAAGACAUCUCUAUAUACAUCUUUAUUGGAAAAAAGUAAAUUGUUUUAUGUUUUCAAUCAUAUUCUUUCCAUUUCUGACUUGGAAAUUGAUCUUGUAACAGGUGUUAAUGGCCCUAUUGACUUGGGUGUUGAACAUUGCGAGGAGGACCAGUGGAAUCCAGCUUAUAGCUUCUCAAAGACGACAACCAGCUUUUCGCCAGAGAUGAACCGAAAGAAACUUCAGAAUGUUGAGCAUUUGGUUCAAAAGCUAAGAAGACUAAACUCUAGCCAUGACGAAACCAGUCAAGAUUACAUUGCAUCUUUAUGCGAGAACAGUGAUCCUAACACCGAUCACAGAUACAUUUCCGAGAUUCUUUUAGCCUCUGGUCUUCUCCUCAGAGAUCUUGGCUCAGGAUUAACAACUUUUCAACUGCACCCUUCAGGCCACCCAAUCAAUCCGGAGCUGUUCCUUGUUCUUGAGCAAACUAAAGGAUGCAGCAGCAGUAGCAGCAACGAAAAGCUCAACCGCAAACUUGUGUUCGAUGCUGUUAAUGAAAUGCUCGUGAAGAAGCUUCCUUUUGUUGAGAGCAAUGUAGAUCCAUGGAUGAAGCAAGCGAAAACGAGGAAGAGGGUCUUAAGUGCACAAAAUCUCUUGAAGGAACUAUGUUCAGAGAUAGAGACACUACAAAAGCAAGCGAAGAAGAGAUCAGAAGACUUGUUGGAGGAAGAAGAAGAAGAAGAUUUCUUGAAAUGUAUAUUGGAUGAAGAUAUGGCAAUCCGAUCUGGGAAAUGGACAGACUUUGAUGGUGCAAUCCCUGGUGUAGUGCUUGACAUGGAGAGGCUUCUCUUCAAAGAUCUGGUGAAUGAGAUAGUGCACGGUGAGAUUGGUCGGCUGCAAGGAAACUCGAGGAGACAGAAAAUGGUUUUGGCUGACGAGUAGAUAUUGAUUUAUAUAAGUCGUCUUUCUGAUUCUCUGUGUUCUAAAGCCGUAUAUAUAUAUAUUACAAAUUUACAAGUCAAUAGUACAACAUUCUCCAUAUGAUAUUCUCUAUUCAUAUCCCAAAACAUUGUGUUAAUCAUUAAGACAAUAAAACUUCAGAAGCUAACAGAAUCCAUCAAAUGGUUUCGUUCUAGUUUGACUUCCUAUGAAUCUCAUCAGGUUCGAAAAUGGUAGAGAUUUUUAGGGAUUACUCAAUUUGAGAAGAAGAGAGUGAAACGAGAUUUUAGGGGUUUAACAAAAAAAAAAAAACUCAACUUUGGGGAAAAAAAAGAAGCUAGCUUUACAACUUCGUCGCCGAUCAGCUGAAUCAACGGUCAAGAUCAACUCAAAACGAUAAACAACGGUCUAGAUUGUAUCUUCACGAAUCGGAGUCUUUCUUUUACAUAAUAAAGUCAGGGUUUUUCCACUACUGAGCGAGAGAAUUGAAAAACGUUGGGGGUUUCUCACUACCCAGAGAUUAUCAUCAUUCACCCAAAAGGUGUGUAAAAUCAAUUGCUUUCGCGUAAAAUUCUCUGUUGAUUUCCGAGUUCGAUCGUAUUUUCUGAAAGUUUCAUUUGCUAGAUCUUUCUCUUUCUAGUUGCUUCAUUUCCCUCAAUUCCUUGUCUAUGCGUCUCUUACCAACUCGAGAAUUUGAUUUGGAUCCUACAUGUGUUUUGUCUGUGUUUCAUUUCUCUGUUCUGAGUGAUGCUAAUAGAUGGAUUCAUCAGGAACGAGAUUAGUGAGUUAAAGUUGUAAGCUUUUGUUGACUCGAUUCUUAUAGAUUACUGCUUUCUUGAUUCUACCCGGAAAACGUUAAUGUCUGAAACAGAUCUACUCCAUAAGAUUUCACCUUGUGAUCGAUCACCAAUCUGUCUACAUUCUAAAGUUUGUUCUUUUUGAUUUUGUCUUCUUGAAAAUGUGCUUACAGAUUGAAGAAGAUGCAUUACAUGGGUUUGUUUAGUAGGGCUGGAAACAUAUUUAGGCAGCCUAGAGCGUUGCAGGCCUCAAACGCUAUGUUACAGGGCAAUCUUUCAUUAACUCCAUCCAAACUCUUUGUUGGAGGUGAGACUCCAAAACUUCUGUUUUCUCUUGAUUCUUCAUAGAGAGUUUUCUCUUUUGAGUGUUUGGUGGUCUUAAGGGUCUCAUUCUGUUAUAUGGUGCUUUUUUUCCAGGCCUCUCACCAGCUACUGAUGUGGAGCUCUUGAAAGAAGCUUUUGGCAGUUUUGGAAAAAUUGUUGAUGGUAGCUAUCGUUUUUGCAGCUGUCUCAUUUUUCCAUUGGUUUUUUCUUCUCAUUGCUGACUAAAAUAUUUCUUUGCUCUUCGCAGCGGUGGUGGUUUUGGACCGUGAAAGUGGUUUAUCAAGGGGCUUUGGUUUCGUAACAUAUGAUUCGAUCGAAGAUGCUAAUAACGCAAUGCAAUGUAUGCAUAAUAAGGUGAUACCAAUUUUCCGGCUUCUUUUGGUUGCUAAAUAUCAUGCCAUGCGUCUAAUUUCUCUCUCACUUUAUUUUCUUUCCACACCUUAAAAUCUUCUGACUUUGUCACAUAAGUUUGUUUCUAGUACAGUAGUCUGUAUAUUAUCAUUUGUCAUCUAGCUUGUAAUGCUACUCCUGUCUCUCUCGUUUGAUAAUAAACACUUUUCGUAAAGAAUCAGAAUGCGAAAUUAAACCAUUCUUUUUAUUGCUUUGUUUAUCUCAAUUCUUUAGACAGAAAGAGUAAUGUUUUGGUACCAUGUUACUGCUUCAGAAACCAAUGGGAUUGUUCUUUCUUUCUUUGCUUGAUUUGUCAAUCUGCCAUUUAUAGAGUUUCCUGCUUAAACAGGAGCUUGAUGGGCGAAUAAUUGGAGUGAGUCCAGCUGAUUCAGGAGGUGGUGGUGGCAGUGGGGGUGGGGGUGGUUUUGCAAGAAGGGGAGGUUAUGGUGGUGGUCGUGGUGGAUUUGGUCGCGGUGGAUUUGGUCGCAGUGGAUUUGGUGGUGGUGGCUAUGGCUUUGUUCGUUAACUGGGCAUCCAGGAAUGUCUACCACCAAGAUUGAUUAGUCUGUGGUUUAAUUUUCUCUUCACAAAGACCACUAUUUUGUUAUAACAACGCUCUUGAUGUUUGAACAAACAUAUCAAGCGGCUAAAGUUGGCAAAAACAUUUGUUGAUUCAAUGGUAUUUCACACAAAUUCAUAAAAAAAGGGUACAAAUUUGGAGAUAUGAAUAAUGAGUUUAGAUAAACGAGAAUAAUCACUAUCUUUUAGUCCAAUGAGUUUAUGAGAGAUUCAAACUUAAAGAUAAGCCAGUCUGCUUUUGCUGCAACGGCUUCACGAAGCUGAACUCCGGCGUAGCAUAUGAACAAGUCUGCGCCACCAGGUUUACGUGCCUGCAAGUGAAUUACCUUAGUCACUCAGACAGUAUUUGAGAGUUCAUCGUUAUCUGCAAAUUCUCAGUAGAUAAUAGCUUACUUCGAGAUCAGUAGCACCAUCUCCAAUCAUGGCCAUAGUCUUGUAGAGACGACCCUGGAAAGAACCAAGUCUCAUUGGUACAAAGUGUUGUAUUUAACAAGAGAUAUGUAGCUUGCAAAUUAAUAACGUUCGAUGAACCUUUCGUAUUUGUUGCACAGCCUUGGCUUUGCCUCCACUUCUUGAUGUAGGUUCGUUCUCAUCAAAGCCCAGAAACUCGCCGGAGUUUCCAAAUAGAAGAUUGUUAGCAAAGAUAUUCUCCCGAGGGAUGCCAAGAAUCGAUGCUACAGGCUACAGUGAAAAGAAAUUCAUUCAAAACCUUAUCACCAUGAUUGAGUAGUCUACACAAGAAUUGAUGCAUUAGGCCAUAGUAAAGAAUAUGAAGAAACAGGUGUGUGUGAGAGAGAGAGAAGAGUACAUUGAUCAUCUGUCGAAAACCUCCAGAUAUCAAAUAGACAUCAAUAUUAUUGGCUCUGAGUUUCUUGACCAACUCUUCAAUGCCAGGGGAUAGCCUACACAAUCCAAAGAAACACACUAUUAAAACACAUUUCAGAAAACAAUCUGGACUUAUGCAGAGAAUCAAGCAAGCUAGAUGUUAACCUCUAUAUUGGUCAAAGUCUAAUUCAAGACAAGAACUGGGGCCAAUGGAACACUUACAAGUAAAAUCUAUCUUUAUUUGUGAAACGAUUUCUUUAGCAGAGUGAAUCAAGGGGAAGUAACUGUAAACAAAAACAAUACCUCGGGGGUCUGUUUUCGAGAUAUUCCUCAACUUUUGAAAGAGAAGGCUUGAACAAAGAAAGUCUUGCAGCUAGAGCUUCUUCAAAUGGAACAGAUCCACCCAUCGCUCUAAGAAAAGCAAUACUCGAUAUGUUUACGUAAAAAAAAACUCAUCAGAGCUUUAGCAUAUAUAUGCGUUGAGAUGGACCACAAACCUGGCAGUCCAUUCAGCAACAGCCUUUCCAGCUCCACAAAACUCAGCAAGUUCAUCAAUACCUUCAUCCACACAAACCGUGCUAUCCACAUCGAAACAUACCGCUUCAACACUUCGCCAAAGAUCAAGAAUUUCUAGCAAUUUAUAAAACCAACAACCAACAGUAGAAAGAAACUCAGCAAUCUAUAAACAAUUGAAAAGCUCAAAACAGUUUCUAAGAAUUCUCAAUUGCACAACCAUGUACCAGAUGUUAUUCCCUAAAUCCAAAUACAACAGAUUCUAAAGCAAUGAGUAGUAGUAGUUUACCUUUAGAAGGAACAACGUUGCUUUCGUUCCCCAAAGCCGACAACUCUUGUGGCUGCACAGAAGCAGUCACUGGACGAAGCAAUUUGGGAUGGUGCAUGAUCGAGACAAGACCUCUACAAGGAUAUCUCCUUAACUCAAUGCAAGACGAAUUAGCAAAAAGUGAAGAGAGCUGUCUUCUACAGGGAAGCUGAACUGGCACAACCCUUGAAGUAGCUAUUGCUUCCAUUGAAACAGGAGCUGCAAACAAACCACAAGAAAACAAGAGUGUCGAAUAAUUACUCACAACAUCUGGGGAAAAAAAAAAAAAAAGGAAGACAUUUUAUGAAUCUUAGAAAUGAAAAAGAAAAAAAAAACUAAAUUUACAAAGACGCACAAUUUGGUCGAAUUAGCUAACAGAUAAUCAAACUCAUAAAGAUUUCAUCAGAAAAAACUGAGAAGUGAACGAGAUCCAAUGUAACGUUUGGAUGCAAUGGAUGUAGAGGGAAUCCACGUGAUCUAUCAAAUGGCUAAGUAGAAACCGAAACAUCAAAACCCGAACAGAAAGAGAGCUUUACGAUAUACGAUUGAGAUCUGUACCGUGAGGAAGAAGAUCAGACGAGAACAAUUACCAACCGGAAAAAUCGCCGGCGGUCGUCUUCGGCUGCUGCUUUGGAUGAUCGAUCAAUAAUAAUUAAAAAACAAAAAAAAAAAAGUCACUGAGAAGAGUGUUGUUUGGUUGGUGAAAACAUGGAUCAACCGUCAAAAUGACAGUUUUGCCCUUUAUUAGUUUAACUAAACCGUCAAAGUUGUUCUUUUACGUUUCGUUUUGGUUUGGCUGGUUAGUCAUUGCCAGUCAAUUCAGACCGGUAAGUGUCUGCUCUGUUCUGUUACCCCGUCGUUACCAUUCCGGUGGACAUAGCCUUAAAUAUAUAUGUCUCAUGUACAAUUUUUUUUCAGAGGCAAGUGGGAAACAGCUGGAAAACCAGACAAAGAUGGAACAAAACAAUGUCUCUCUCUUCAAAGAUUCCAUCAUUACAGUAGAAAGAGACCCACACGACUCACAUGAUCCCAUUAAUCACUUAGUUAGCUAAACAAGUAGAAGGGUAAGAAGAGAGUGAAGAAGACUAUGACUCCAAAUCUUGGGUUUUGGAGUUUGAAUCCAAAGGAUGGAUCUGUGUAAUCCGGGUUAAUACCGACUGUUCCAGAUGGUAUUCCCAGACCUCCUCCUGUUGAUGGUGUGAUUGUGUAGGGUCUUGUAUUAGUUGUUGUAGGGACUCUUGUCGAAGGUGUUGUCGUCACUGGAGUCGUUGUCCCACUACCACUGCAUUAAAUGGCAUAGAACAACAAACAUACAAACACAUCUCUUAGAUUGUAGCAAUCAGCUCUAAACAAAGAUCUAGCUAGAGUGCAACGAGCCUCAAGAUCAAAGCCAAUUCUUGUUUCAAAACAACAAAUAAGGAGUGAAGAAAGAAAGAACGAUCUGUACCUGGCACUUGCAGGGAAAGGACAAGUUGUGUAGCCUAUCAUAAGACCACAAUGAUACAAGAGUUAGUUACUUAUAAAAAAUAGAGAUAAGUUCCACAAUCUAGUUUCAAAUCUGUAUAGAGGAGAAUCUUGAGGUGUGAUACUAUAUAAUAAGAUAAUGGAUACUUUAUUUAUCAUAUCAUUCACAUUGAAACAUGUGAAGUUAAGAUUAAUAUAAACUAUCCUUUCUGAUUUGCUUUCAAGUUGGGUUCCAUUUUUCAACUACUGCUUUUAACUUUACCUAGUUAAGUUACCAAAGGUGAACAAAUUGUUUUUGCACUAAUUAAAAUGAAUAAAGGCGGAGAAGUUGGUAGGAGAGACUCACUAGGAUCAGAGGCUGAGACGGUGGCUGUGCCAGCAAAGUCACAAGUGCCCGGAGACUGACCUUUCUUCUGAAAGAAGCUGUUGACGGCGUAGGAGCAAUGAGACUUGACGGUGUUAGGGUUAAAGCAAGGUCCGGUCUGGUGAAUGGGUCCACAAUCAGCUCCUGCACCACAUGCGUAGUCCAAUGUCUUCUGCAGCAUUGCUUCGCUUAACCCUUCUUUGCAUACACACCAUGUCCCACCUAUACAUACAUACAUAAACACUUUCAUGACCAUUCUUCGAAUCUCAUUCACUGACAAUGUGUGAAAUGGAACCUAAAUGUGUAAUUCAAGAGGGAACAAGAUUGUUGAACUACACAGUCAAAAAGGAAACAACUUUUUAUGAAAAGAAGGUAUUGGUAAAAGCAAAAAUGGCCCUUAUUUGUGGAAAAUUUCAUUAAAAACUAUGAAAGCUAAGAAGUUUGAGACUGUGUUCUGUUCUAAAACAGAGUGGGAGAAAGAAAAUAACGAAAAAAAAAGAAGAAUCUUUUUCCCGUCAAAAGAAAAGAAGAGGAUCUAUAUGAGACAGAGAAGGAUUAUUUUAUUUAAACUUUGCAGGGUUUGAAUAGAGAAGAAGAUAUUCUUACUUGAGUGACCAACCAUGGCCAACAAAAUCACAGCAAGAACAACAACUGCCAUGGUCGCUGUACCAGAACCAAGCACUUUUGGAUUCAGCUAGUUGCAGGAAGAGAGAAGGAGAAGGAUAAUGGAGGAGAUUGAGAGAAGGUUUUGAAGGUAACAAGAGGUGUGAAUAAAGAGAGAGAAAGAGAGUCACUGCAUUGAAGACAGUGAAAAAGAAAUGCCUUUUUUGUUGCUUAGAUCCUGCAGAAAAAUGAUGUCUUAUUACUUAUUACAGUCUUUCUACUCCUAAAUACAUAAUCAGUUAGAAAAUGGGAAAAGAAAUACUCAACUAUAUUUAUAUGAGCAAAGAAUGGACUGUUUUAUUUUAAAUAAUAAUAGCCAAUAAAAUAGCCUUUAGUGCUUACAUUACUACUAUUUAGUUAAGGUAGCUCCAAAAAAUAUUUUCUUCUAAGACAUUUUUCAUCUACACAAAAAAGGAAAUUAAUUUUCAUAGUCAAUAUGUAUUAAUGACCGCACCAUCUAAAGGUUAUGAAGAGUGAGUGUAGCCGUGCGGCAUUAUCUGUUUCGUACCAUCCAAUCCUUUUAUGUCCGUUGGAUCCUUCCCACAUCGAGCGGUGGAUCAUUUAAUCCCAUCAUAGCCGUUGGAUUCUUUCUGUUUCCAGUUAAUAGGAACCAUCAGUCAACGAUUCUAUAGUUACAUAAAAGUUGAGGCUAAAAGAUUCACUCUUUUGAUGAGGCUAAAAAACAAGAUCAAAUGACUAAUUCACAAAACCAAAUAUUCAAAUUGAAGAAAGUACUUUUAUUAUAUCAAAUAGUCAAAAUUACGGAUUGUUCUAAUUCUAAACGUCCUAACCUGGACUAUAAAUUACGUAAGAUUACUAUUUGUAGAAUAGUUGAAUAACUCAAACUAACACCAAAAAACUAGGGUCUAAAACAAUAUGGAUUAACUUCCAAUCUUUCUUCAUCGUUCUUCAAUCUUUAUCUUCUUCACGAUGUGACCUUCAUCAUUCUUUGACUUCUUUUUCUUUUGUUUUGUGCACCAUUCUUUGACUUCUUAUUAACAAAACCUCCGGUCUUACCAAUUCGGUAGACAAGACCAGCUUUUACUGCGCUUACAUCUAUGUACACAAUCGAGUUCUCAGCGAUUUCUUCUCGCACAAUCAUCUUCGACAGGACUGUGACAACAUUCUUCUCCAGCCAUCUCCUAAUGGGUCUAGCACCGUACACCUAUAUAUAUAUAUAUAAUCAUACAACAUUUAACAACUUAAGCAUAACAUACUUUUAAGUGAGAAGCAGGGAUCAGAGGUUUACCGGGUUGUAACUAGCUUCUAAAAUGUAGUCCAAUGCAUCAUUUGUGACAUCCAAAGCUAUACCUUUCUCAGCUAGCCUGAUAACAACAUUCUUCAUUUGGAGCUGAGCCACUUUUCUCAAAUUCUCAUGCGACAGAGGAUCAAACACCACUAUCUCAUCCAAUCUGUUUAGUAGCUCUGGCCUAAAAUGCUUUCUCACAGCUUUCAUCACGCGGUCUUGAGCCACUUGCAUUGUCACUUCACCUGUAAGGCCUGAGAUAAGGUGGUCAGCACCAAUGUUUGCAGUCAUUAUUAUCAUUGAGUUUUUGAAAUCGACUGUCCUCCCUUGCGAGUCUGUUAAUCUUCCUUCGUCUAGCACUUGAAGUAGUAUGUUGAAUAUAGAAACAUGGGCCUUUUCAACUUCAUCAAAUAGUACAACGCAAUAAGGUCGGUUCCUCACAGCUUCAGUUAAUUGUCCACCUUCCUCAUAACCAAUGUACCUAAAAAGAGUAAGACAAUCAUGUGAGUUUCCAUUAUAGCAUUUGAUCCACAUAGGAGUUGUCUAGCAAGUUACCCAGGUGAUGCUCCAAUGAGUCGAGUAAUCGAGUAUUUUUCCAUAUACUCUGACAUAUCAAGCCUAACCAAAAGGUUUUCAUCGUCAAAGAGUUGCUCAGCGAGAGCCUUAGCUAGCUCAGUUUUGCCAACACCAGUUGGACCGAGGAAGAGGAAGGAACCAGUGGGUUGUUGUGGACGUCCAAGUCCAGCCCUCGACCUUAAAAUUGCAUCAGCCACAGCGUCCACCGCUUGGUCUUGUCCAACAACCCUCUGGUGUAACCUAUCAGCAAGAGAAUUUAGCUUCUCCUUGUCGUUCUGGUCAAGUUUAGUCACUGGAAUCCCAGUCCAUUGGCUCACUAUCUCAGCAAUGUUAUCCGGCCCAACAGUUUCCGUAAGCAUUAGGUUCUCUUUAGAACUCUCUUCUAGUUUUGCUAGUCCAGAUUCCACUUGUUGAAUUUCCCCAUAUCUUAGAUCAGCAGCUCUAGGGAGCUUAUGUUGCCUCUCAGCCUCCUUUAGAGCAGACAUGAGCUCUUCCCGUUUCUGUUUAAGCUUGCGAAUCUCAUCAAUUAUCUUCUUCUCAUUUUGGUAUCUCAAUGUAAGAGGCUGAAGCUUGUCCCUCAAGUCAUCAAGCUCUUUCUGCACCUGCAUAUAUAAAAACAUAUAAAGGGAAAUUAUAGGUUACACAAUUAAGCAGCUACAAAACAGACCAACGUAUAUAAAUAAAGAUCACGAGAAUAUAAGUUACCUUCACAAGACGAGCUACACUGGCUUUGUCCUUAUCCUUUUCGAGGGCAUGAAGUUCUAUCUUUAGCUGCAUUCUCUUUCUUUCAAAGUCAUCAAUUUCUUCAGGUUGACUAUCAAGCUGGACUCUUACAUAUGCACAAGCCUCAUCAACCAAAUCAAUAGCCUUAUCCGGUAAUUUUCGACCUAAUUAAUAAGCACACACACAAAACAUAUAACAACUUAUCAGAGAGAGAGAGAGAGAAUAACAUAAAUUAAACAAGGAUGCAUGAUAUAUAAAGAAAUUACCAGUAAUGUAACGAGCAGACAACUGAGCAGAAACAACAAGAGCUGUGUCUUGGAUAGAGACACCAUGAUGUAAUUCAUAUUUCUCUUUAAGCCCUCUAAGAAUAUAUAUUGAUAGUCUCAGGCACACUUGGCUCAGCUACAUAGACUUGCUGGAACCUUCUCUCAAACGCAGCAUCUUUCUCAAGAUAUGUUGAGUAUUCGUCACGCGUAGUAGCCCCAAUGCAACGAAGCUGGCCUCUAGCUAACAUAGGCUUAAAGAAAUUGGCAGCCUCUAUGGCCCCGCCAGCACCAAGAACCAUGUGGAUCUCAUCGAUAAAGAGAACAAUUUUGCCUUGAGCUUCCUUAACCUCUUCCAACACAUCUUUCAAUCUUUCUUCGAAUUGUCCUGGGUAGGAUGCACCAGCAGCCAGUGCACACAUGUCCAAGGCAACGAGUGUUACAUCAGUAAGAAAAUUCGGCACGUCUCCGUUAAAUAUCCUUUGAGCCAAACCUUCCACCACAGCAGUUUUGCCAACCCCUGCUUCUCCGAUUAGAAUAGGAUUGUUCUUCGUUCUCCUUGACAGAAUCCUAACUACUCUUUUUAUCUCCUUGUCUCUGCUUCAAGUUUCUCUGCUUGUUUAAUCAAAUCUCUCCCAUAAGUUUUCAAACCAUCAUGAUAUGAAGCCCUAUACAUUCUCUGUAGUAGAUAGACACAAGACUACCAAGAGAGAGAGAGAGACGAAUCAAUAUAUUGUUCCUCCUAGGUUAAGAAGCUCUUGUGUUUUGGUUUAGGAGAAGAGUCAGAAGACAACUUUCUCCGCGAGAGUUUCUCUGUUUUGUAGAAACAAUUAGAAGAAGAGAAUCAGAAAAGGAAAUCUACGUAUCUUAGAAAUUAAGAGCAUCUACAUUAGUAGUUGACCCCUAAAAUAAUUAGAAAUUCUACAUUAGUAACGAAUUACAUCAACUCCUACUGUAUGGAUUAUAAUUUUCCAUUACUAGACGGACUCGAAUUUUUAGCGAGUUUUUUUUUUUUCUUUGUUGGAUUUAAUUUCUGCAAAAUUUUGUUUUUGACCAUAAACUAGGAUCAGCAAUGGAUGCAUGCAGAUCUUUUAAUAGAUCAAGCAUGUAAUUUUGUUUUGAAGGCUUGUAAUUUUAGUUUUUUUUUUUUUUUUGGUUUAGAAAUAGAUCAAGUUAAGUUGUUUUUAUAUAUUUUUCAUAUAUAAAAAAAAACAUAAAGAAAAUUUUCGUUUAGAAAAACUUAAUUACAAAUAGAACUAAUUUUUAUUUUAGCCAAAAACUAAGCUAAAAUGUAAAAUUUACUAUUAAAUUAUUAAUUGUAUUACCUUUUGAGAAAUUGGGUUGUACCUUACAAAUAAUUGAAGUAAAUAAAUAAAAGUGAAAAUGCCACCUGGUAAGUAGGAUUAAGAUAAAAUUUACUAAAAAUGAGUUUAGUUAAUUAUAUAAUUGGUUCGACUCGUUUCCACUAAAAAUGUAACGAAAUUUAAUAAAUUGUUAAAUGUAAAAUAAUCUAGCAAAGAAUUCUGGUGAGCUUUGUGUUCCGACCCAAAAAUCAGGAAGAAGAAGAUUGGCAAACAAAAAGGAUUCACCUUUAGUGACUGAGCUGAGAGAGAGAGAUUGAAGAAAAAAAAAAAGUGUGAAGCUUGGAGAGAGAAUAACCACGUAGAGGUUUAUAAUCCGUGGUUGCAAACCAAGGACCCAGAAGUGAACACGAUAGUCAAUUUUUUUCUUUGCUAUCAUCAAUUUCUUUCCCCAAAGUUUCAACCUUUUUCAGUUUUCUGGAAUUUCUUCCGUUGAUCGAUCACUCAGAUGUCGAACGAAGAUUCUCUUCCGGCAUUCACUUUGUUUGGUUUGGAUGAUGUCGAAAAUUACGGUCUGGUGAGUCCUCCGAUUACUGGGAUUGCUUUUUCGAUAAAGAGUGUUUGCGAUUUUAGCAAUGCAUGUUCUAUUUUCCGAUUGUUGAUUGAGAUUUUCGUUAGGGUUAUUGUCUCAAUUCUCUUGCUUGAUUGAUAUUUUCCAGGUCACUGAAGCAGACAAUUCGUUACCUUUAGAUAUACACAAUCAGGUUUUUCAACUUGUGGAGAAGGGAAACCAAUCAUUCAAAGAGUCACGCUUUGAAGAGGUGACAGCUCUUUUGAUCUUUAUUUAGGGCUUGCCUGAGAUAAAAGAGUAGUGAGAAAAUUGGUUCUUGAGACUAAAAGAGUCAAUAUGUAGCAAAACAUGGUGAUACAUAGUGUUAAUUCCUUCAAUAAAACUGAUUUGGGCUAUGUUUUUUUGUUUGUUUGGAUAUCUUGUAGCUCCUUGGUGUAGUUUACUUGUGGAAUAGUUUCUUGGUUGCAUUAGUCAUAUAUAACAUCUUUAAUUCUGGCUUUGAACUGGCGAUAACUGCUUAUCAACAGUAGAAUAUUCUGCAAAUUCGUGGUAGUUUAAAGCUUUGAUGCUGAAACCCAAAUGAGACGGAUAAAUCUCUUGUUCUUGCCAAUAACAUAGCUUCUUAUUUUCCCAGGCAAUUAGCAGUUAUUCAAAGGCCAAUUCUAUUAAACCCCUUGACCCUAUUGUUCUUGGCAAUAGAAGUGCUGCUUAUAUAAGGUAAGGUUUCACAAACCCGAUGCCGUCCUUUUUACUUCCAACGGAGUUGUCAUGUUGUUUCAAUAUAAGCAAUUGGAUUGUGUAACUAGUUUUGCCUUUUUACUCAGUUUAGAAGUAUUUAACCGUGUUGACAUAAUCUAAUCUAUCUCCAUCUCUCAACCUUUUUAUCUAUAGAUUUGGCCAAUAUCUGAAGCAGAGAUCUGCAUCAAUUUCUGAAUAUAAACCUCUGAAUGGUUUUGAUAUGUCGAUGCUUGGGGAAGUAUGUAUUCUAGUUGCUUAACAUGUUACUAGCAAUUGCGAAAUUCAUUGACUCUUCUGACUCAUCCUAGAAAACUUGAUAUUUCCUGCAGCUUGCUCUUAAGGAUGCUGAUAAGCUGAUGAAUCUUCAAAGCAGUUCAGUGAAGUCAUAUAAUACAAAGGCUUGUGCCCUCAUGUUGGUAUGUGCUGAGUUAUUCUCUUUAGAUUCAUUUUGUUUUAUGUCAAUGUACUAUCAAGAGUUUCUCGGUCUACUUCAUGUCACAUGUGUUAAUUUUUAAUAUAUUCUGCAGCUAGAAAGAUAUGAGGUAGCACGUGACACUAUCCUCUCUGGUCUACAGAUUGAUCCCUUUAGGUACAUCUAUGUGUACUGUUAUUUUAUUAUGUAUUGAUGCCUAACUGAAUGUGUCGUUUUUAAGUUUGGAAUUUUCCUGAUCGCAUGAAGCGAUCCUCUCCGAUCCAAUCUUCAGGAAUUGGAGAAAGUGAUGCCUAAUUCGAUGCGUAAAACCCAUGGAAAGGCUGAGCGGUCUGAUGACUUUGAUUGCACUGUUUGCCUGAAAUUGCUGUACGAACCUGCUACAACUCCAUGUGGGCAUACAUUCUGCCGAUCAUGCCUCUUUCAGUCAAUGGAUCGCGGUGGGUUUAUAUGGUUGAUUGUUGUUAACUCCUGGAAAACUUCUUCUUUUACUAUUGUGUUGUUUAUUAAUGCUUUGUGGAAUCUAGGCAACAAAUGUCCGCUAUGUCGAACUGUCAUUUUUAUGACCCCAAGAACAUGCGCUGUCAGGUAAAUCUUUUUCACUCUCUCUAUUCUCCUUAUAGCUCCAUGCUACUAAAUAUGUAACUGUAGCGUGUGUUUUAAAAAAUUUCUACUGAAGCAACUAUGUGUUGGCAGUGUGACACUGAAUAACAUCAUACAGAAAAACUUUCCAGAGGAGUAUGCUGAAAGGAAAUCAGAGCAAGACACUCUGGUCCACUUAGGCAAUGAAAGUAUGCCCCUUUUCGUCAUGGAUGUGAUCAUCCCCUGUCAGAAGUUGUCUCUUCACAUAUUUGAACCACGAUAUCGACUAAUGGUGAGUUCUUACAAGUUUUUUCGGUUAUGUACAUUUUAGAACUUAAGUGGCCUACUCUUUGCAGAGAUUGAAUACUCGUUUAGUGUAAAGAUUGUUUCGGCUCGAUUUGACAAAUUUUUUAAAUGAUCUUAAACUGUACAAGUUGUUGUUUAUAUUUUAAAGUCUUCAUAAAGACACGGACACUCAUUUUAAGAAAAGAAAAAAACCCAAGAAAGUGAAGUGAGGAAAAGAGAAAGUGGUCUCUAAAUGAGCGCUAAUAGAUGGAAACUUUUAUGGCCACUUUAUCCACUGCAGUAGUACUGUUUGCACUAAGCACAUUGAUUAAUAUGUGUUGACUGAAACAGGUGAGAAGAAUAAUGGAAGGAAAUCAUCGGAUGGGAAUGGUGGGUAUUAUGUCCUUUUUCUUCUUUCUUCUUCACUAUACAUUCGUAAAAGGUUCCUAACUAGUAAGGUUUGCCCGUUCCAAUGUCCAUAGGUAGCUCUUGAUUCUGCGACAGGUUCUCCCGUGGAUGUUGCUUGCGAAGUUGAAAUCACAGAGUCUGUUGCUUAUUUCUUUCUGAUGAUAUUUGAUGUCCUUCAGUUGAUGAUUUUAAAUUACAAUAACUUACACAAAGUCUGCUGAUGUUUUGGAACUACACAGGUGUGAUCCACUCCCGGAUGGGCGUUUUGUCCUGGAGGUGAAUAUCAUUUUCAUUACUUCUUCUUAAACCCAUAUUACUUAGAUCUAAUCGACUAAAUCUCUGAUGCCGUAACAUAGUCAAUCUAUAGAAUUAUAGUUUUGGGGUACUUUUCAUAUGUAAGUUGUCAAAUCAUUAACUUAGUAUAUGCUUUCUGCAGCUGGAAAGCCAUAGAAGGUGCCGCAUUGUAAAAGCAUGGGAUCAAGAUGGGUAAGCUUUGUCAUUUUGAUCACUUGAUAAUAUUCGCAUGUUUUUUAAACAAUCUAUCCGUUUUCGUGUCGGAUGUGAUUGAUAUACAUGUUACCAAAUUAAAUUUUUCCUUUAUGUUUCAAGUUGUGUGAAGAUCAAAUAUUUAAUUUUGGAUCUUCUUGUGAACACGAUCGUCUGACUUUGUUUCAUAUACGUUCUUUCAUUUCAGCAUAUACAGACACAAAAAUGUUUAGCUUCUUAUUACCCUUUUUGCUUUUCAGGUAUCGUGUUGCAGAAGUUGAAUGGGUGACAGAUAUACCACCACAAAGCGAGCAAGGGAAAGCAGAUGUAUGAUUUUUCUCUGCUGUUACUUGAGUGAAUUUAUUUCCUUUCUCUUUUUUCAUCAUCUUUCUUUGUUACUUCUUAAAGCUGCGGGACCUGACGACCAGCGCAGCAUCAUUUGCUCGUUCAUGGCUAGAUAGAGCAAAGGAAGCAGCUAGACAAGGAGGUAAGCAGCUAUUCAUUUAGCUGAGAAAGGGAAUUGAAUUACUCAUGAGUUCUGAUAUUUCCAGCCUAGCUAUAAGCCUAUAACAAGUAAAACAAUUCAAUAGACCAAUAAUUCACCUGCUGUUUCUUUCAAAUCUCUGGUUAUCAAUGUCUUUCCCGACCGUCUAAUAAAACUAUCUAUGAAUCAACAACAAUUGUCUUUAUGAUUGAUUUAGAGCAAAGUAUUGAGUAUUUGCACGGCAGUUGGAUCUCUAUCUCAUACUCUAAUAGUUACCAGCUUCUGUUUUAUGACCGUAAUCGAUUGAUAGUUGUGCCACUGGCAUACUCAUAUUAUUUUAGACAUGAUGUUAGUAUUUUUCCUUUUUCUUUGCUUUUACAGACAGAAGAAGACUUGAAAUACUUCUAAAUGUUGAAUCUAUGAUACCAACGCCUCAAGAUCCUGAACGCUUCAGUUUCUGGGUAAUGUUGUUUAUCAGCAAAACACACAACUCUUGCCAUAUAUAUUCAUUUCUGUUGAAUUGUUGCUCAAUGAGUUCUUUUGCCUCAGCUUGCUACAUUGACAGAUAGGAGACCUUCAGAAAGAUUGGAACUACUUCGGCUUCAGGAUACGGGAGAGGUACUUGAUUAUCGGCUAGUAUAGAUUGCCUCGACAAAUCUCAUAGUUUUACCAGUCCUUUUCUUUUGAUUGUUGAAACUUCUUGUUGCAGAGAAUAAAGCGCGGGCUGAUAUAUCUCCGAUCAGUAGAAAGAGGAUGCAGAAUGCAAUGAACUAGCAUCAUCAAGGCAUUGUAUUGCCGAUUAAACUACAGAGAUAAACUUGUUCAUAAGAAGGUUGACAAAAACAUUAUUCAUGAUUAAAGGAAUACAUAAGAUAGAGAUCCAUGUAGGAUCACUAUCAUCCUUUGUCGGAUCCAUUGUUGUGGAUUUUGUUUGCCAGUGUAUUUUACUUAAUUACCAUAUUCUUCAUGAUGCAACUGCAGCAAAAAAAAGAAAAAAAUGAAAAAUGAAAGAUUCUUGAAAAUUAUAUCCCUUUUUAGAUACAGUUUGUUAAGUUGGUACUGUUUUAUCAAAUCUGGAAGCUUAGAGGAAACAGGUGACUAAUUCCUUAAAACCAAACUGUCAUUAUUACAUUGUUUGAGAUUGACUAAUAUUUAGAGAUUCUCAAAUUCUGAUCAGUAGACACAUGGUGAGUGCACAGAUUAUAUAACUAGAACAUAAUGUGUCACAUCUUGAUGAUACACAAUGAAAGAAGAUGAUAACACCAAGCGUCAUAAUCCAACAUCACUCCAUACACCAUCGUCACGAGACAUCGUUAAAUACCAAUGACCACCACACAUCACUAAACGAGAUGGGGUCUCAACUUUGGACAAAAUCAAUAAUUUCUGUAUAACAAAUAUCCAGAUCUUUUAUACAACUGGAUAUUUUAUAGAUAUGCUUAUGACUAUACAUUAUUACAUUAUGCCUGGAAUUCAUAAAUUGCGCUGUAGUUAUUAUAUUCUCAAAAUUUUAACUUAUUAGAGAAGAUUAUAUUAUAAAUUAACAUUAACAAACAAAAAUAAUGCUUCAUGGCUUUCGCCAUAUUUGCUUGAUCAUCACAGUUUCUGUCGUAAGAUCUGGUUAACGUUGUGUUUCUCAAACCAUCAAAAUGCAUAUAGAGUUCUUGGAGUUCUCUUCUGGAUCCCUUGGAAAGCUUUUCAUGACUCAGAAAGGUUAAUACAGAGCAAUUCAUUUCCCUUGUUUCUUACCUGCAAUUCACAAAGCCAUACAAUUGUUGCCCAUCACAGUUAAUCAUAAAACAAUCUCUUUUUCUUGUUAGCUAUUAGCAUCAUGUUUUUACCUUUCUGGAACCACGAUUUCCUAACUAGCUGGCGAAUUUGGCGUUCAUGGCAUUCCAAAAGCUCAUCAACUCCAUAAGAUUUAGACAACAAUGGCCCUGAGAAUUCGAUUUUGUCAUCAUUGUCUUCGUAACCCUGUCAAGGUCUUAAAUCAUUAAGCAUCAUUGAGUAUCUUUUUUCAAAAUGUCCUAAAAGAAGACUAAGCAAAUCAUGCAUGUUCUACUUUUUCCCCUCAAGUUUUUAGGUGAAUAUAAAAAGUGGGAAAAGAACUUAAAGCAACAAAGCUACACUCAGUCAAAUAGCAAUCACAUCAAUAUGAAGCUUUGAAAUCCAUAUCUUACUGCUUUAUAGGGGGUACACGUGAUCCCCAAACCAUUGCCAUUAGCAAGACAGCUUAACAUAAUUAUAACUUCAAUUUAUUAUAUAAGUUAAGAUUGGCAUAAGAAAGGUUGAGCUAGGAUCUUAAUUUCUCUCAGUAGAGACGUGCAAACCUAAGUAUACUUGGUCGCUAGUAUAUCAACUGGAAUUUCUGUAAUAAGCUUCCAAAAAAAAGUUUACUUCUAUAAUCUACGGACGUACCAAUUGACCCAGCUUUGCUGCCUUUUCUUCUUUCUGAUAAAGUGCCAAUGACAGUUCCUGUGAAUGAUACUCGUCAGAACCAUCAAAAGAAUCUGGUCGUUCAAGUUGCCUCCAUUUCUUUAGCAUUGAAAGCUUCAACAUCUCAUACGCCUCACGGUCUUGGGAAUCCGUUCUUUCCCCAUGUUUUUCUUCCUUUUCUUUCUCAUUGUUUUUAGAGUCAACGUCAGUAUUCUCACUGAAAGCAGGAGAAGGUCCCAACAGGUUAGGAAUGUGACCUCUUGAGAGAGAUCUAUUACGUGAUCUAACACAUAUGUCAUCUUUUCGCCGCCUUGCCCAUGCAAAACCACUUGAUACAGAGACUUGCAAAGGCCCUGAGAAAGGCACAUCUCCUUGUGAUGCGUUCUUCACAUGAGAAGCUUCAUCCUUUUCAUGACUUGAUGGCUUUUGCAUUUUCUCACAUAAAAUGGCAUCACUAUCAAUCGAAUUAUGGACUGAAUGACCAUUACGUUUCUGAAACUUCUGGGAGUGGUGCCGUACAUCCUGCAAGUAGAGAAAGGAGAAAGUUUUUGUUUUUGUUUUUUGUUUUUUUUGGCUUAAGUAAUUCCCUUCUCAGAGAUGCAUAUAGUAUGUAAACAAGAGAAUAAAUCAGAGGUACCUCAGCUGGUGCCAAUUUAGCAAAUGCAGGGGGCUUUCGUGUUGGCUUUCUCGAUUCUGUACCACGUCUCCCAUUCCCGCUGAUUUUUUUCCUGGAGUUCCAAAAUAACGUAGGACCAGACACUUCAAAUUAAGACCAAACAAUUAUGGUGCUAAGAUUAACCAAGUAAUUCCCACGGGUAAACUGUGUGUUUUCACUGUAUUUUUCUUGAAAGAUAUAGUGACAAUGAUGGUAAUGAAUAAAAUUCUGACCUUGUUGUGUCUUCUCGAUGCUUUGCAUCAAUCUCCUUGCUAGGCGAGUAUACAGGCAAACUUGAGGGAUCACAAGCAAAAGGCUUUGAAGUAAAAUACUGAAACGAACAAACGGAAUGUUUUAAAAGAUGUGACAAUACAACAAAAUAACAUCUUCCUGAAAAUCAAAGUUCCAAAUCUUCAAACAAUAAUAGCUGAAGGAUGAAAUGGUUACCUGAGAACCAAGGGCAGUAGACGCAGUCCCACGUUUGUGGGGCUGUAUAGAAAGAAGAGUUUCUAUGAGAUGGAUGUCAGCAUCGGAUAAAUCUUUCAAGGUUUCUCGGAGACAACCAUCGUAAUGUUGCUGUGGUUUGAAAAGCAUUGCAUGAGGAAGUUUGGACUUUUUCCAGUAAUCUUCAGGUGGAGAUCCACAUAGUUUGAAUAUCUUGUGCAACUGCUCGACCUGUAGCAUACAUUUUAGAAACAGCAAUCUUUGAGUUAUAUUUUCCCCGAGAAAAAACAGAGCAACAUACAGGAUCAAAAGGUCUGAAGCUACAUGUAACAUAUAUUUACAAGACAACAAUUUGUGGUUACCUCAGUUCUCCCCUGCAGAACCGGUUUCCCAAGAAUAAGUUCAGCAAAAACACAGCCAACACUCCACAAAUCAACAGAUGCUCCAUAUUCCGUUGCCCCGAGCAAAAGUUCAGGUGGACGGUACCACAAAGUCACAACUCUACUUGUAAGAGGUUGCUUAUUCCCAGAAGCAUUGCAAAAGUUAGCUAGCCCAAAAUCAGCCACCUUUAAUAUUCCUUCAUUAUUCACCAAAAGAUUUGAACCCUUGAUGUCCCGAUGCAUCACACCUCGUGCAUGACAGUGAUCAAGUCCAGACAACAAUUGUUUCAUAUAACACUUAAUCUGCAAGGCCAGACGCAACAGUCAUUGUAUUAGAAAAAAUCCGGGACAAAACCUUUCAUUAAAAGAGCAAGACGUUUUUAAUCACUAAAAGUCAAAUUGACCUGUGGAGUAGUGAAGUCGAUAUCGGGACUAGAAAGAAGACCAGUGAGAUCAUGCUCCAUAUACUCGAACACGAGAUGUAUGUUGGAAGAUAGCUUCGAAGUAACAAUACCUUCUAGUUUGAUAAUAUUGGGAUGAUUAAGUCUCCUAAGUAUCAAAAUCUCUCUAGCCAUGAACCUAACACUCUCUGGCUCAAAAUUGUCAAAUCUAACUUUCUUCAAAGCCACUAUCCUCCCAGUUUCAGUCUCUCUUGCACGGAACACACUGCUAUAAGUCCCUUGUCCAAUCUUCAAAAAACAAAACCAUUUCAUUUUCAGAGACAACAACAUUUCAAAUGUACAGAGAGUAUAAAAAAGGAACCUUUUCGAGUUUUUCGAAAGCGUCGGAUCGAAAUGGAACCCAACCAUGAAUAGCUUCACCAGCGACGUUGCUCAGCCACGCAGGCCAACCAGCUGCGACUUGCUCAGCUUCAAGGUACUUGCUCAAGUUACCGAGCCGGAAACUCACCGACUCACUCCUGCAAUUCGAACUCGCUCGACCGGACUCACUCAACUCACCGAACUCGCUCCCCAACUCACUACCACUCUUCUUCCCGCUCUUGCUCCUCCACGACAAAAGCUUCUUCUCCGUCACCGGAGGAAGAUCCUCAACCACAAUUCGACCGGAACCAGAACAAGCAUUGUCCCUGAAAAUACCAGAGUGAUCGAUCGCUGGCGUGACAGAGACGGUCUGCUUCGAGCUGACACAACCCAUUUUCCCAGAAUUUUGCUCCUCCGCGUCAAAAACACAUGUGUACCAGAAUUAUCUCUUUGAACCGGCGCCGGUUACUGUGAUUCGGAUCCGGAUUCGAAUUCCGAUCUCCGGUGAGUAGUGAAACUAUUGCUGUUUCGUUUUUCGUAAUAUAUAUACAGAGAGAAAAACUUAAGAGAAUGUUUUUUUUUUUUUAGACUUUUUGAUUUCGGCGUGAAUUGCGGAAGACGACGGUCCUUUAUAAAUUAAACAUUUAAAUCAAAAGUAAAUGUCGUGAAAUCAAAAAUAGAAAUGUUUUAGGCGAAAUCUACGGCAAGAUUUUUUCGAUCGACAAUGAAUAAUGAUGACUUGAUUGAUCCCUCUUGUUUAUUUUCCGUUUUAAGUAUUUCUUCUGUUUUUUUUUCUUUAUAUACAUAGUUCACUUUGAUAUAAUAGUGUUUUUCAUAAUUAAAAGUGACUUAACAUUGUUAAGAAAAUAUCGAAAUUGAUAGGAUUAAUUAUGCAAUGGAACGAGUUUGACUAGCGGCGACCAGUGUGAGAGUGAGCUAAUACGGCCAAAAACGGUGGUGGGUCGUUGUUGACUAGUUUCGAUCAUUUGUUUUUAUUUCUUAUAAUUGUAUGUAGUUUAUACUAUAAAACAUACUAUAAACCUCACACUUGUCAUGUGUAUGUAUACUUGAUAGUUAGUAGUAUACGAUAACAUGUUUUAAUGUAAUUUCUUAUUCGUAUUGGUGUGUACUUGUACUAUAUCGAUCGAUUUUCGGAAUUUUUUUUGUUUAAUAACCGAAGUGGUAUCAAAAUGCUCCUUUUUAGAGUAAGAUAAUUCUUUGGGAUUUGAGCUUUGACCCUUGGGCAAUCAAUACUUAUUCCACAUUAAAUUUUUGAAUUAUUGUUGGAUACAUAUAUCAUGUGACUCUCGAGAUAACGGAGUUUUCAACCAGCCGAUAUGUGUAUAUGUGGGAGCUGCAUUUAUUGUUCAAAGCCGAAAUUCGAACACCCAUUGAUACAACUACCAAUUUUUGAAAUUUUAUUUAGGUACUAAUAAAAGAAAGCUUUUUUGUUGGAAUUUGAAUGCUACUAUAUUUUCUUGAUAAAAUUUUCCACUAUUCAAUCAAGAAAAUAUAAACACUUUAAAUAUCAGAGAGAAGGAAAAAAAAAAAGCUAAAAUUUAUGUUGACUUUAACUUUUUGGCAGACAUCUUUCUUUUAUAGCUCACACAUAAUUGCGCACCUUUCCCGUUUUUUGAUAUUCCAUGUCUCCAUAAGAUCUCUAUUGUAACAGUAACUAUUAUUUCUCGACUAGUGAAUUAGGUAGUCGAUAUAUUAACAAUCAAUUUGUUGACUUAAAGUUAGGUACUAAUGUAAGCUGAAUUUUAUUUCCAAUUUGUAUAGAAUCAUUACCACUCACACAAACAAUGGUUUCCAAUGUAUUGUAAAAGAUUGUGAUGGAUCAAAGCUUUACAAAGACAUGGUUGAUUACUUUCUAUGAUGGUAACACACAUGCGGCUUUACCAUCUUUGGACUUGGACUGACCAAGCAGCUCAGCUACGGUUUUGCAGCGACAUUCUUUUCCAGGUCGUAACACAUCUCCAUAAACGGCCAUCUCGAUAAUAUCUAGCUCCUUGUCUGCAAUGUUUACAUUAGAAGAAAUGAAAGUGAAACCAAAUAUGCAGAGAGUAGCCACACAACACACACUUGAGUCCCACUUGUGUAUAAGUGUAACUGUGUUAAGAGGAGAAAACAUGCCAAGAGAUCUAUACUCUUUCGAGUCUUUUUGAAAAGAAAAAUGCAUUUCCCAAGAGCAUUUAACACUUUGCUUCACUCCUUCUAAAAUGUAAACUAGCAAAACCUAAAAACAAUUCACGGCAUUGCUUUAGCUUUUAAAGAAGAUUCCUAGUGGCUCAAGAGCAAUUCUUGAUAUGAUCAAACCAACAGAGAAAAGAGAAAGAAGAUAUCUAAAGCAAAAGCAGCUCCCACAUGUAUGAGAUUGGCAUAACUUGUAACGAUCAAACUUGUUCAACAAAACACUUUAUAAAGACAGAACGAGUGAAAGGCCAUUUCGCAAUUGAGCUAUCUAGCAGAAGAACAGUCUAUAACACUUGAUGAUCUUAAUCUCUACAUGAAAUAUAUAUAAUCAACUAUAAUUCACAAUCAAGAUUGUCCAAUCUUAGCUACUUAGCAUAUGUUACAUACCCGUAAAUUGCAGACCACAAGAAUAGCUCUUAAGAGUGGUGGCAUCCACAUUUUCUUGAGCUGAUUUGAAUCUGUUAACUCUAGUUUGAAGAAUCUGACAAUUCUCAGCUAUCGACUCUCCACCUAUAUACACAAAAACAACAAUCAAGACCCUAAUUUCAAAAUGUCAAUUCGGGGGAAGCAGUGAGAAGAGAUGAGAAAAAAAAUCAAACCUUUGGAGUAAGGAACAAUGUGAUCAUACUCGAAACAGAGACAACCGUUGCAAUUUCCGAAGCGUUUGCAGACGAUGUUACCGGCGGCAUCUUUACGCCACCUCUCGGGAUGUCGACCAGGUACGGUGUCAGCAUUAGCCCAGCACUUGUUCUUCGCCUUUCCAUCGAAGAAACGAGGUCUCUCUUCUCCGUUUGAUUUUACAUUGGAGCGUGACGGCGAUGAAGGUGGCGACGGAGGAGGAACGGCGGCGGCGGCGGAGAAGGAUGACCCCAUCGAUCGAUCUCGCGUACUCUCUCUAGAAUUUUGGGUUUUUGAACCGGCAAGGGAAAUUAAAUUCGGUUCAAAAUAAACUAGACCGAACCGGUAAUCUUGGGCUCGUUGUUAAAUUCUUCUUUUUCGAUUGGAAAAAUUAUACCGGAAUUUGUACUGAUCGGAAAUUGCUAAAUAAGACGGCGAAAGAAACUCCGGUGUCUUCGUCCAUGACCUCCGACUGUAAACUGUUGUACGCUUGACUUCGGGUUUGUCAUUUCGUUUGAAUUUCUUUCUGUUUUCCGUUUUAAUCCCAUGAUUGAUUCCACCUUCGAUUAACUUCUACUCCAUAGAUAGUCAUGAAAUUAGUAUCUCUAUUGUGUGUGUGACUGUGUUUGGUGUUUCGUAACUAGUGUUGAAUUCUUAGUUAUGACUUAUGAGUUGCUGUUUGCUUUGGCCUUCCAUGGUGAUUUCUUACGGGCUUAAGUAUGUAAUUGGUUUCUGCAAAUAAAAACCAGAAGAACGUGAAUGCUUAUUUAGUGACUUUUAUGAUCAUAAUUCAUGGGUAAAAAAGGUUGAAACAUGUUGCUAUUUUGUGGUCCUGAAUGUAGAAGUAGAACUGAAAUGGGACUUGAUUGCUAAACUGCUAACGUUGCUAUUUUGUGGUCCUGAAUGUAGAAGUAGAACUGAAAUGGGACUUGAUUGCUAAACUGCUAACGUGAAAGCUUCUUCUAGCUUUUCUUCCCUCUCACAGGUGUUGCAAUUUACUAAAUUAGUGAGGAAAAUCUUCUUUUUCACCUUGUUUUUAGGAAAAAUCAGCGCGCUGUAUUGAUCUUAGUAUAUGUAGGCUAUUUGAAUUUUAGAACCAUAUACUUUACUUUAGGUGGUCUAAGUAGCAAGUACAUUGCAGACAAACCUGAACAACGUUUUUCAAACUCGACCAUGAAAGGGAUUCAUCCGUCCUUCUUCUUCUUCACCAUAAUCCUUCACACUUAUUCUCUCAAUUUCUAUCGGGUUCAGGAGAUUCUCUUAAGUGUGUGUUUGUCUUUUUGGGUGCUAAAUCUGUUUGCUUUAUGUUGUGUGCUAGCCUUCUGCUAAUAUCAUCAGUGCUACUAAAUGUUUUGCAGAUACACUAUGCCUUUAAGCUGUUAAGAAAUCUCGUAUAUAGACAAGGGACUAUGACGUUUGGCAAUGAUGAAACAGCAGUAAAAGUUGUUAGUCCUGUAUCUUUACUUAUUUUCGUAGUUUUACUGCAGCAUGCUGAAAAAGGAUGAACAUUUCUUCUGUUUAAUGGUUCCAGGUUUGCAGCAUGUUAUAGAGGAGCUUGAAAAAGAAAAUGUUGUGAAAGAUUUUGCAAAUAUAACUUCGCCUGCUGGAAGUCGUUUCUUAUGGUCAGUUGACUAAUUGAGCUCUUUACCACCUCCUAUUCCAUUUCAUGAAUUCGUUUACAUGAUUUGUUUUGGAUCCAAGUUGUUAGUUCUUAUUAUAUUUUUUAGAGCUUUCAACGUGACGGUUUGAUGGCAUUUUACGUUGUAAGACUAUGCAUUUAAUUUCCAAAAGUUCCAGACCAUGGCUGAUAUAGGUGUAAUACGAGUAGAUUGUUUACAUUUGUGUAUACAUGGAUGGUUCUUGUUUUAUAUGUAUGCUCAGGGUUGCUUAAGUUUGUUGAGGUACCCAGCAUGCUUUUGAAACCUCUCUUGCAAAAUAUCCAAGCAACCUGGCAUGAAUAUUCAUAUGUUGAAGAUGCUAAAUGUUUUUGUUUUUCAUUUAAUUAGAUGGUAAAUGUUGGCAUGCAUAUAACGGAGCAUUUUCUCCGACAUCAAACAUAUUUAAUUACGACCACGUUUCUCCAUUAUCCAAUUUAAUAUUCUUUAAUGAUUUUUAAAAGAGUCUCUUCAGAUUGUCCAAGUCCAUCAUUUCUAGUCUUCCAUCAGGAUCCUGCCAAAAAUCUGAAAUUUCAGAGCGGUGUAGUUCAGAGAGGGAAAGAGUGUGGGAUCUACACAUUCUGUGAGAAAAAAAAGACAGUCUUCACUGAUUAUGGUUAUUAGUUAGACUGUGUCCGGAUUCAAGUGCCAUCUGGAGGUCUCUCCCUGUGAGUGAAAUCUAGAGACAGAGGAGGCAACAAGUGAAAUGUUUCAGGAUGGGUAUAGAUCCUCAGGAAGUGGCGGAGGACUAUCGACAACUGCUGUAUCAAACGGUGGAUGGAGAAUCCGUGGUUUUUUGCGCGGUUGGCAGAUCCAGAAUACCUUAUUUAACAUCAAGAUCAUGAUUCUCUGCGGCUUCGUGACCAUUCUCAUCCUACUUGGCACAAUCAGUAUUGGGAACUUUGGAAGCUCCAACGCCGACUCUGUUAAUCAGAGUUUCAUCAAGGAAACCAUUCCGAUUCUUGCGGAGAUCCCAUCUGAUUCGCAUUCGACGGACUUGGCUGAGCCGCCUAAAGCUGAGGUUAGUCCCAAUGCGACGUACUUGAAUGAGCCGCCUAAAGCUGAGGUUAGUUCCAAUGCGGCGUACACUCUAGGGCCCAGAAUCACCAACUGGGAUAGUCAACGCAAGGUAUGGCUGAAUCAGAACCCUGAGUUUCCUAGUAUUGUCAAUGGCAAAGCUCGAAUAUUGCUUCUCACUGGGUCUUCCCCGGGACCCUGCGAUAAACCAAUUGGAGACUAUUAUCUAUUGAAGUCCGUGAAGAACAAGAUUGAUUAUUGUAGACUCCACGGGAUAGAGAUUGUGUAUAACAUGGCGCAUUUGGAUGAGGAACUCUCAGGGUAUUGGACGAAAUUACCUAUGAUUAGGACAUUAAUGCUUUCUCAUCCAGAAGUAGAAUGGAUUUGGUGGAUGGAUAGUGAUGCUUUGUUCACUGAUAUACUGUUUGAGAUCCCGUUACCUCGGUAUGAAAAUCAUAAUCUGGUGAUACACGGUUAUCCGGACUUGCUGUUCAACCAAAAGUCUUGGGUUGCAUUAAACACGGGUAUCUUUCUGUUGAGAAAUUGUCAGUGGUCAUUAGAUUUAUUAGAUGCAUGGGCCCCAAUGGGACCAAAAGGGACGAUCCGUGACGAAGCUGGGAAGAUACUGACAGCUUAUCUGAAAGGCAGGCCAGCAUUUGAGGCUGAUGAUCAAUCGGCGUUGAUAUAUCUCUUGCUUUCGCAGAAGGAUAAAUGGAUAGAGAAAGUUUAUGUGGAGAAUCAAUACUACUUGCACGGGUUUUGGGAAGGUUUGGUUGAUAGGUAUGAAGAGAUGAUAGAAAAGUAUCAUCCAGGAUUGGGAGAUGAGAGAUGGCCCUUUGUGACACAUUUUGUGGGGUGCAAACCGUGUGGCAGGUAUGCUGAUUAUGCAGUGGAUAGAUGCUUCAAGAGCAUGGAGAGGGCUUUUAAUUUUGCAGAUAAUCAAGUGCUUAAGCUGUAUGGGUUUAGCCACAGGGGAUUGUUGAGCCCCAAGAUUAAGAGGAUCAGAAACGAGACAGUUUCUCCUUUGGAGGCAGUAGACGAGUUUGAUAUUCGAAGAAUGCGCGUGGAAACCAAACCAUAGAGCUAGGAAAAUCAAUGAGCGAAGGGAAUCGCAGCUUGGAAAGAUUACGAGAAACAUAUAGGAGAUAUACAAAAUACUAACAAACAUAAUGCAAUUUGUUUGCCUAUAGCUGCACUUGUUCCUUGUGCUUCAUUUGUCUGUUGUUGUUGAAGAGAAGUUUUAGCUGUCAAAUUCUUUCCAUAGAUGGUCAAUAUAUGGAGAAAUUUGAUUCUGCAGUUUUAUUUUGUUUUAUCUUCACAAUUUUCCUUUAAGGUUAUUAAAUAAUAUGUUUGCACAAAAUAAGGUAUUAAAUAAUGUAUUUAAAUUUUAAACCAUGGAAAUAGUCAAAUAGAUAGUUGAUCAUUUGUAGUUAUUUAAAUAAUAUAAUGGUUUUGGAGGUGUUAUCUAUAAAUUCGUAAUACUAUCUAAUAUUGUUUGGCAACCGAAACAUAUUAUAUAAUUAAAAAUUUAAUUUUAGAAAAAGAGAGAUUUACAGUAAAACUUCUAUAAAUUAAUAAUGGAAAAAAUUUAUUAAUUUAGAGAGGUUAUUAAUUUAUAAAGGUUUUACUGUAUAAUGCUGAGGUCUGAGAUCAAGAUACGAUUUUAACCAUAAAAGAGUAGUAUAGUUACUUGCUUAUCGUCGAAAAAAAAAAAAAAAUUACUUACUUAUAAAUAAAUCUACGGAGUCGAUCCCUAUUAUUAAUUAAGAAAACGCGGAAAAAUAUCCCAAGGAGAUUACACUUAAACACAUCGACACUCUUUGAUCGGAGUUUCCCAAAUUCCCGAUGGCGAAGGAAACUCCGUCGUCGUCGCCGACGUCGAUACCCUCCGGUCUCAAAGCCUACGCGGUUCCUAUUUUUCUCUUCGUCCUCGCUAUGUUCUUCCAGCUUUUCCUUCUUCCUCGUUCCUUCCCUCCUUCUCACUACGACGGUACACAAUUCUCUAAGCUCUCUUUCUCUCUCUCUCGACUAUGUACUGUGCUACAAUUACCUUCCGGGUUUGAUCGUUUGAUUUGGAUUUCCUAGUUUUGGGUGUGAAGAUGUACAGUUCAGUGGAUGACGUGAAAGAUGCGUACGAAACUAUUGCUUCUAAGUGGUAACUUUCUCGAUCUGGAUAAUUGUUUUUUUGUUUCUCUGGUUUUUACCUUGAAUUUGGAUUUAGUCCCCAUGAUUCUGCCUCCACAAUCACUCACGAGUAUUGUAUGCACUUGUUUUUUUUAUAACUAAUUGCUAGAUGAUAGUAUAUGUAGGCUUGGGCAUGGAAGGAAUGGAAUGUAAUUCCAAUUGAAUUUGAUAACUAGAAUUUAGGUGUUCUAAGUAACUUUGUUGCUGACACAUUGUAACAACCGAUCGUGACAGGGAUUCAGGUUCAGGAGAUUCUCUUCCAGCUGAUUUUAUUAAGGUUGGUCCAUUUCUUAUAUAAGUGCUACUUCUGUUAGCCUUUUUAUGUGUGUAACGUUUCUUCUAAUUCCAUCACUGCUACUUUAUAUUAUGCAGAUACAAUACGCAUAUGAGCUGUUAACAAAUCUAGUAUGGAAAAGGGACUAUGACUUAUUCGGCAUUGAUGAAUCAGUAGUAAGUUGUUUGUUCUCUAUCUUCACUCUCUUUUUUGCAGCAAACUGAAAAGGAAGGAAGAUUUCUUCUGUCUUUUUUUUUUCCCAUUUCGAAAAUCAAUUCUUUUUUUCUUGGUUGCAGCAUAUUAUAGAGGAACUUGAAAAACAAUAUGCUGUGGAAGAUUUUGCGAAAAUAAAACUUCCCCUGCUGGAAGUUGUUUCUUAUGGUUAGUUAACCAAUAUAUCUCUUUGACAUUUCCUAUUCUAUUUCUUGUACUUGUUUUAUAUAUUUAUUUUCGAUGCCAACUCAUUGGUGUGUAAAACCUGUUUCAGAGCCUGAACGUGAAGGUUUUAUGUCAAUCACGUCUCAAGACUUUGCGUCCAAGUUCCAAGAUUCUAAGCCAUGGCUCAUUCAGGUAUUAAUUCUAUCUAGAUUUUUUACACAGAGAUUUGUAAAUUUGUGGAGACGCAUUUCUGCAAAACUUAUACUGGAUUUUAUAAGUUAAAAACUCUCAUACUAAAGAUACAAGCAAUCUAACAUGUUGAAGAUCUGAUUUUUUUUUUCUGUUAAAAAAGAAAAUGUUGGCAUGCGUUAAACCAUAUUUCUCUUGGAAUCUCUUUAUGCUACAAAGUGAGGGAGUGCAUGUUGUCCUUCACAUUAGCGAUAUAAGAUUUUCCUUUUGGCCUGUACUAAAAUUAUAAUUUAUUGGUAUAAUGCAAUGCUACAUCUUAAUUAACGUCUAAAUACAUGUAGGUGUAUUCUUCUGGUAGCAAAAGCUCUGCCCAUUUCACUACAGCUUGGAGAAGGAUUGGUAUGAUUUCGCUUUCGGUAGUAUGUUUAAAGUGCAAAAGUCUCGCCAGCCUUUGUUAAAGUAUGAGACAAUUGAAUUAUAAAUUGAACAGCUAGAACAUUGCGUAGAGCAAGGGGAAACUCAAGUAUCUGGAAUAGACAGAGUUAGUUUUCAGGAAAUAAAUAUGGUGUCUAUCAUUUUAAAAGCAAGUGUAACAAUAUGAUCGCAACUUGAUGUCAAUAGAUAUGUUUUAACAGAAAGUAGGAGGGAACACUAAUAUAAUAGCUAAUAAUAGAAUAGCAUAUUUUGCUGUGGAUGGAAUCAUUUUACCAAUUAUCUUGCUAUGCUUAACUUUAUUUUAUAAUAGCAGUUGCUUUGUUGGAUGGGGUUGCUAACCAUGCGAUGUUAGAGCUUGGCGAUGUUCAACUUGUGACCUACCUUGCUGAGAAAAAACCAACAGGACAAGUAUUUUUUAGAAAAGGUAAGUUAUCACUUUCCUCAUCCUGCCAAGAACCUACACGAAAACUGAGAAGAAUAAACGCAGAAGUCAAUAAAAAGUAGACUGAAGUAAGUUGAGAGGAUCCAUUGGAAAAAAAAAAGCAGUGAGGAUCUGCUUAAACAUAAUGGUUCUAGAAUUUUGUGUUUGUACUUAGGAAGUAUAUUACAUCCAGUAGAUUUGAAAUCUUGAACAUUAAAAUACAAAUUCGUGUAUACAUUCACACUUGUUCGAUUAUGGCUAUGGUUUAUAUUUCAGAAAGGUGUCAUGAUUGUCUAUACCUUGGGGUAAAAUGUAUGGAUUUUUGCUCCUGUUAUAACAUCCUAUUAUGCAGGCCUUCCUUCAAUCUUCUCUUUCCCCCCGAAUUGCAAAACCGCAGACUGCCUCAUCAGGUAGCUCACUGACUGAACCCUUUAGUUUAGCGGAAAAGGCAUAAAAUUCUGCACUCUUUAUUGGGUUGUGAAAAUUUUCUUGGAGUAGUCAUUUAGAUGAGUUUCUUGCUUCAUUUUCCUUAUUUUCCAGAAUAAUAAUUCAAAUAUAUGUACUUGUUAGGUUUGAAGGAGAGCUGUCAGCAGAUGCAAUUACCGAUUGGUUCGCGACCACUGUACUGGGUUUACCUAGAGUAUUCUAUCACACAAAAGAAACACUGGUAUGCUUUCUUUAAAGCCAUCUUAAUGAUGAAUUUAGAAUUUUCUUACAGAUGACAUAAGUUUUUGAGGUAGUUUAUCUUCCAUACUGCCUCGAGAAGUGUCCGUCCAGUCAGACCUUUCAGUACUUGAUUAUCAUAACUGUCCAGAAACAGCAAAGACACUGUUUUUGGAGAGAGGGAUCUAGGUUUAACCAUGUUAGGAACUUUUUUAUUGGGAAACUUUGAUCUGGUUUACUGCAAAGCUGCAGGCCUUUUAGUACCUGAAUCAUUUUGAAUUCUUCCGUGUCAUGGUCUAUAAGAGUGAGACCGUUUUGCUUACAUGUUUUCUUCAAUUUCAUGCAAAAUUUUCUGGAGUCUAGUUAAGUGGUGAUAUGUUGGCAUUUGUUGGAUAUUUCGACUGUUUCCUUUUUUUUCAGGUAACUAGAUUUUUUUUUUUUUGGAAAUAAUUAGAAAUAUAUUGUUGCAUACAGGUACCCAAGUUCCUCUCCAAAGUUCCACCUAAUAAGGUUUGUUUAGCUUUUUUCUAUUUCUCUUUAGAAUUUAUCCUUUAUCAAGCGUUCUUUCAUCCUAUGAAAUUAAUGAAAUACUAAUCAGACAUGUAAUAGUUUUCCGCAUCACAUCUACUACCUAAACCCUUUUUUUGUCUUUUUUCUUAUUUUCCCCUUGCUCAAUAGGUGAAAGUCAUUUUAUUCUCACAAACAGGAGAGCGAGCUACUCCUAUUGUUCGCCAAGCUGCAAAAGAUUAUUGGAAUUUUGCUUCUCUAUCUCACGUGCUUUGGAGAGAAGAGGAUGCAUCUUUCUGGUGGAAUGCGUAUGUCACUGCACUUCUAAGUCUGUUUAUCUGCAUUAGUGUCUAUUGCUUAUGGGAAAGAUUUCUUGUCAAUAAAUGUGGUUUGGUGGUAUCCUUUGAUUCUCCCACCGCGUAGUUAGAUAUUGGCUCAUCUCGUAUUUCUUCUCUUGUAACAGGUUGGAGGUAGAAUCUGCACCUGCCAUUGUGAUUAUGAAGGAUCCGGGUUCAAAACCUGUUGUUUAUCAUGGUCUUUCACCAUCUUGAACUGAGUGUUUUAAAUUACUGAUAAUGCAUGAUUAGGAAACUGAUUGGAUAAUAAAUUCCUUCUUGCAGGAUCUGGCAACCGUACAUGGUUCCUGGACAUUUUGGAGCAGAACAAGCAAUUACGUAAUCCCUAUGCUUCCACUAAUUAUAUGUUCAGUAUAUUUGGUUUCUGCAUGUGCUUUUCUUUUUCUACUGAGCUGAGUUUUUAGUCUGGUAGAUGAAUCGUUUUAAUUGGUUUAUGAUCAUUUUUCUUAAAAGAGCUUCCUCAACUAAGAAGCACAACAUCAAUGGAACUUGGUUGUGAUGCACGGGGAUACUCUCGAGCUGGUUAUGAUAAAGCGACGUGGUACUGUGCCAUCCUUGUUGGAAGACAAAGCGUGGAACUCAAUAAGAUGAGGGAAGUGAGUAAAAUCUUUUUUUCAACAUCAUCCAUUUUUAUCUGAAGUUCUUGUCUCCUUCCUGAUAGAGUUUUGUCUAAUCUUACAAGUUUGUAGACCAUGUGCAGGGUACAAGAUGCUUUGUCAAAGUAUGACGAAUCAGAUGAGGCUUCCAAGGAUCCAUUAAUAACUCCAGCAGCUUCUGCACACAAAACCAAGCGGCUAUCAUUUGCGUGGCUCGACGGAGAAGCUCAGAAUGUAAGUAUACUGGCCAGAACCCUAGAUCUUGAGAUCUGUUACUUACCACCAUCCUGACUCCCUCUGGAUUUGUCAUCCAGAAAUACUGUUUCUUCUAUGUUCAAUCGGAAACCAGCUAUGACACGUGUGGAACUAGGAGGGCACCAAUUGAUGUGCCUAGGAUACUGAUCGUUCGGUACCAUAGAAAUGCUACAGAAACUGCUAAUGUAGAGCAGAAAUCAAGUAAAUGGCCCAAAACUGUAUGGCAAUCUGAAGCUGAUGAUGUUGAUCCCGCUGCACAACUUGUUGUUAGUUACGACGGACCAGCUGAAACUCCCGAGGUACAGUAUUCAACAAACACCUAUGAUUAACAAAUCUGCAUUCUAUUUUCUGGUAUUAACUUUGUUACAUUGCUUGUUAACUGUUUUGUAGAUCAUCAAGUGGCUAUCGAAAAUGGUUGAUGAUGGUGACAACAGAAACCUACCUUUCUAUGUAAUCACCUCCGUUUUAUUCAUUAUUUACAUGUUCCUUAUCGCAUAUCUCAUUUGAUCUUUCGCUUUAAUAUGCAGAGAGCUAAAACUCCAGAACUUGUUCCUGAAAACGCUGAACCAAUGAGAUCAGGAAUCCCAAAAAGCAUAAAAGCAACUCAGAAAUUGUUGAGCUUAUGGAACAGAAUCAAAGACUACCUAGCUGAUCCAAGAAUGGGACCUACAUUGCUUCUAGGAGCUUUGUUAUCUGCAGGCAAUGUUUGGUGGAUGAGAAGCCGAACAUCAACACCACAACCUGCUCAGACAAAUCAGCCAUCACCAAAUCAACCAGACGAUAACGUAACAAUGAAAUGAUUCAUAUAAAAAUCUCAGUUUCGACAUAAACCCUAAUUAAGAAAGAUUGAUGAUUGUUUUACAGGUGGAGGAGAAGAAGAAGAAAGAGAGAAAGAGAGAACAACGAAGAAAGAAUGCAAAGGAAAAAGAGGUUCCUGCUUCGAUCACUGAUAACGAACCUAAAGAUGCUGUCCAAAUUCUAUCUUCAGGUUCCGAUUCUGACUAAUAUUAUUAACCCUUAGGAUUCUUCUGACCUUUUUGUUUUGACAUUUAUAUUAUUUACGGUGUUUUAAUUUUAAAGUUGCUAAAUUCAGUAAUUUACAUUUAUCAUUUUGAACACUUAAAAAUAUUCGAUCCCCUUUUGCCAGUGUAAUACCAUUGUAUCAAAGGCCAAGUAAUUACCACAUUUUAGAUUUCCUAAUUUUGAAAGAAAAACACAAACUUAUAAAACUAGCAAUAAAGCCAAUUUCCUUACUUUUUAUAUCGGGACAGAAAGUAAAAUAUAUUUUUAUUAUAUUUUUAUAUUCUUUAAUUAUAGAAACCAGAACUAUAUAGAAACAUACCAAAUCAAUAUAUAUAGGUGUGUGUGUGUGUGAAAUGUUUGAGAAUAAUUUCUAAUUUGACUCAAAACAAUCAGAAAAUAAUUUUUCAGAAACCCAGACAAAAAGUAGGGAAUUUACAUAAGACAUGUCAUAUAGGUGUAAAUCGGAUAUAUUUAGAGACGAAGUGCUGCUCUUUUUUUUUUUUUUUUUUUUUUGGACAAAAGAGAUGAAGUGCUGCUCUAUUUCUUGAAAAAUGACAAAACUUUUGGGUGGGCCUUAAUUUCUUUAACCUUAUUUGGCAAAUUUAUUGCCCAUCUUUGUUUGCUGUCAACAUUUUUGGAAAUUUUCUUCUAAAAAAGGUUUAUUUUUUUUAAUCAAGAUAUUGAACUGUCUAUAUUCCUGACCAACCGUGCUGCUCCAUAUGGGACAAUAACCUCUCUAGUGCGGUCCAUGAUAUAGGUCUCCAUGAGGCUCACGACAACACCAACCUUAUCUCGUGUUUCAGUUCACUUCAACCACAGAGUAAAAAGGAAAAAAAUUCAGACCAUUAGUUGAUGGCAAUUCUCAGGAUAAUUAUAUUCAGUUGAUGUAAUUAUAGCUUCUUCUUUUUUUCUUUUAUUUGUUGUGAUUAUGUUCUUCGUUGUGUUUUCUUUAGUAUACGAUAUGGACAAUAAAGUAAAUCUUCCCAAAUAUAUGCAACUAAAUAUUCACGGCUUGAAACAAAAGCACAGCAACUUGAUAUGCAAGCAUAUCUCAACAGUUUACAACAUAUGACAACAAUGAAACGCUGAAAAAAAAAUAGCUUUCCAAACUAUUGAUAAUUUCUUGGGUAAAAUCGUUCUCGAAUUUUAAUGUUAAACUAUUUAAAACAAAUAUACACAUAUAUAUAUAUAUAUAUAUAUAUAUAUAUAUAUAUUCAUUACAGUAUAUUCAUCGUUAACGUUGACAAGAAAACGAACGGACCCAAUAUCAUAAUGCGGCUUAUCUCUAUUCUCUACGCGUCCAUUUGUGUGAACGUCGUAUUAAACUAUCAUUAUCCUAAAAUGAGACUUUUUUAUUUUUAAAGCACGUUAAAUUUAACGAACAAGUAAUUUAAGCACGUGAGCGAUGAUUAAAAUAGCAAUCAAAUCUUCAACUAACAAGUGGGAAACUAUAAAAGACAACAAUAAUAUUUUUGUAAGAAUUUCUAAGAAAUAAGUGAACUGUCUCAUAUCUUUUCAUUUUGUUUCUAAUAAUAUUUUCUACGAUAACUUUGUUGUUCAUACUAUAUGCAUAGUAACUCUUCCCAAAAAAAAAAAAAUUUCUAAAAAGUUUAAAUUCAUUCUUACAACUGCUAGCUACACAACGCUUUAACAGAUAUAGAACGCAUUCUCGAAUGUUUUUCUGAUUUUUUUGUAUUUUAGAGAAUACAACUCAAAAUAGUAUAUUUGAAAUGCAUUCACGUGAUCUACUUUAAUAUGUAUACGAUUUAAUUAUUUCUGCAUCAGUCUUAGUCUAGUGUUAUAAUUUUUUUUGUUAACCAUGUAAAUUCUGAGCUAAAACUCAAACUAAUCUCCACAUAUGCUUAAAUUCAAAAUUUUAGCCGCUUACAAAUAUAGAACUGCAAUGGAUGGUCAUCGAUUAGCCAACAUGACGAAUCCUCGACUAAUAUAACAUUGGAUGAAUCGUAACACCUUCGUACAACCUCCCUUGAAAUUUGAUAUCACUACAAAAAAAAGGUUGAAUUGAAUCACUUAAAUUGAAUCACAAAACUAAAUGAUAUUGUUUUAAAUUACUUAUUAAUAAUUGAUACAAAAAUUAAAAUGUAACAUCAUUUGUAGUAAUCGAUGUAGUUAUUAAUUUGUAUGACAUCAAUUGAUUAAAACUGAUGCAAAUCUAAAUUAAUCUGUAUCACUUUUACAUAUUGAUACAAAUAUAUAAAUUUACAUCAAUUAAAUAAUUGAUUCAUCUAUUAAUUUAUAUUAACAUCACUUAAGAAAAUGAUAUUUAAUUUACAUCAAUAAAAAGUGAUGCUAAUAAAAAUUAUUUUAAUAACAUCAAUUUUUUUAAAAAAAUUAUAGGUCCUUAAAAAAUUGGUAAUUUAGCAUCAAUUCUUUUAUGAUUUUACAUCACUUUUUUUUUUAAUUGCCGAUCUAAAAAUUUCCCUUUUCUUUUCAAUUUUUUCGUGGGUGUCUUUUUUUUUUUAAAACAAAUCUAGUCUAAUAUUUUUUUGGAAACAGAAUAACCAUUUACCUUUUUCCCACGAUUACCAAUCUCCCUAGAAUCCUAACUUCUCUAAUAUCUCUAGAAAUAUACGUUUCCUUGACACUAUCUAUUAGAUAUUAUUUUUUUUACAUAACUUCUUCUUCUUCUUUCUUUUAUCAAUAUACAAACUUUGUAAUGAUUUUCCCUUUCAAUAUACAAACUUUGUAAUGAUUUUCUCUUUCUGUGCCAUCCAAGCGCAUAUAGAAGAACGAAACGCCAAAAACAUGCCGUCAAAGUUAAACCGAGUCAAAUUGUUUAUGUCUAUUCUAGUGUAACCGGUGAAGAAGUCGGAGCCGCCAAUUCUCAGUCCUCUCGGUCUCACUCCUAAUUAAGAAGAUCGGAGAAAAAAAAGCCAACGGUGUACAACCUUCAGUCUAAUGUCACGGUGGUUCCAUUUGGUAUAGCUCUUGCCUUUAACGUCAAGGAGCCGGAGAGAGAUCGUGAGAAGGUUAAAAACAUAAAGCACAAUGAAUUUUUUUUUUUGAGACCUAGAGUUAUCGUAAAGGAGCUUAGCGGGUCGUGAGGAAGGCUAUAAGGACAUCGUCUCUGUGUGAUUCACCGUUGAUGGAAAAUAUCCAAAGGAUUUUCAGCAUGAGAUUCAAGGUUUGGUCGAGAUUGAUGUACCGGAGAAUUAAGGAACAAAAGUUGUUUAUGGUUUUACGUUUGUUUUUGACUUUUGAACCAUGUCUCGUGUUCUUCUAUGAAAUUUAAGAUUAAUAUAUUAUUUUAUUUAUAAUUAUUGAUUAUUGAAGAAAACACAUUAUUAUAAAUAAUUAUGAAAACUAAAACUAAUUUUAUAAUAAUUGAUAAAAAAUAUAUUUUUAACAUCUAUUAUUGUAAAUGAUACAAUUAUUUGACAUUUAUUAAUGACAUUAAUCUUAACAUCAUUUUUUUACAACUGACGGAAAUAUUUAACAUCACUUAUCAUAACCGAAAUAAAUACUAACAUCACUUCUACAAAUUGAUAGAAAAGGUAGUAUCAUUUUUGGCAAUUGACACAUAUUGAAAUCGAUUAUAACAAUUGAUGCAAAAAUAAAAUAAAUUUACAUCGGUUUCUAAUAAAACGAUGUAAAUUAUUUGCAUCACCAUUUUCAGAGUCAUUUUAAUAAGUGAUGUUAAAUUUCUUUGUGUCAAUUAUAAGUAAUGCAAAAAUCCAAAAUAAAUGAUACAAUCUACCCUUUUUUUUGUAGUGUAUAUUGCAGCUUUGGUUCUUCUAAAAUAUAUCUUUAAGAUGAGAAAGAAAACUCCGAACAUCUUAUCAGAAUUUUACGAGUUUAAAGAGCUAAUAAGAGCAUCAUGGAAUGGAGAGUUGCAGACGCCAAUGGCGUUAAAUGAAUUGAAAGAAAAACUACAGCAGUGGAACAAGGAUGUAUUUGGUGAUGUCCAGAAAAAAAAAGAAGCCUUGAUGCGGGAUAUAAAGGCUAUUCAGGAUGAGUUGGAGCUUGUUCAGACUGAUUCUAUGUUGAGGAGGGAAGAUGAAUUGGUGAAGGAGUUUGAGGUGAUAUUGGAGCAAGAGGAGAUACUUUGGUUUCAGAAAUCAAGAAAGAAAUGGAUAGCUCUUGGUGACCGGAACACAACGUAUUUUCACACGUCUACCAUCAUUCGGCGUAGGAGAAAUCGGAUUGAGAUGCUACGGAAUAAUGAAGAACAUUGGGUCUCGGACCCGCAAGAGUUGGAAAAGCUGGCUGUGGACUAUUACCAACGAUUAUAUUCAUUAGAUGACGUACCUAGGGAGGUUGAGAGACUACCACCAGAAGGGUUUGCUCCGCUUACACGGGAGGAGAAGCUGAGCCUAAAUAAACCUUUUACAGCUGCGGAGAUAGAAGUAGCAAUACGGAGUAUGGGAAGCUUUAAAGCACCAGGGCCUGACGGGUUUCAGCCAAUUUUUUUUAUCAAAAAUGUUGGGAGACGGUUGGAAGAUCUGUGACAAGAUUUGUGCUUGAUUUUUUCGCAGCGGGUGUUCUUCCACCGGACACUAACGAUGCCCUAGUGGUGUUGAUAGCCAAGGUCGCUAAGCCGGAGAAGAUCCAGCAGUUUCGUCCUAUUAGUUUGUGUAAUGUCUUAUUUAAGACGAUUACAAAGACGAUGGUUUUACGCCUUAAACGGGUGAUUUCAAAACUAAUAGGACCGGUGCAGUCAAGCUUUAUACCAGGGAGGCUGAGUAUCGACAAUAUUGUAGUGGUACAGGAGGCAGUAAACUCGAUGAGAAGGAAAAAAGGUCGAAAAGGUUGGAUGUUAUUAAAACUAGAUUUGGAGAAAGCAUACGAUAGAAUCCGGUGGGAUUUCCUGGAGGAUACUAUACGGGCAGCAGGGUUUGAAGAGUGCUGGGUACAGUGGAUUAUUCAGUGUGUAACGGGACCGUCUAUGUCAAUUCUUUGGAAUGGGGAGAAAACGGAUGCUUUUAAACCAUCUCGGGGGCUGCGACAGGGAGACCCAUUAUCCCCAUACUUGUUUGUGUUGUGUUUGGAGCGGUUGUGUCAUAUGAUUGAUCGUUCGAUUGCCGUUAAGGAUUGGAAGCCAAUAUGUUUAUCGCAGGGUGGACCUUGACCCUCACAUAUUUGCUUUGCCGAUGACUUGAUCUUGUUCGCGGAAGCAUCAGUCUCUCAUAUUCGAGUGAUCCGUAGGGUGUUGGAGAAUUUUUGUGUAGCUUCAGGCCAGAAGGUGAGUUUGGAGAAGUCCAAAAAAAAUUUCGCUGAAAAUGUAUCAAGGGAGUUGGGUGAGUUGAUAAGCAAUGAAAGUGGAAUUAAGGCUACUAAGGAGUUGGGAAAAUAUUUAGGGAUGCCUAUUUUACAGACGAGGAUAAACAAGGACACGUUUGGUGAAGUACUUGAAAGAGUUACAUCGAAGCUGGCCGGUUGGAAGGGGCGAGCCUUGAGUUUUACGGGGAGGCUAACAUUGACAAAAUCAGUGAUCUCAGCUAUACCGGUACAUGUCAUGAGCACGAUAGUGUUACCAAAAUCAAUAGCGGAGGGAUUGGAUAAGGUGGCGCGGGCUUUCUUGUGGGGAAGUACCACGGAAAAAAAGAAACAACAUCUCAUAGCGUGGGAUCGGGUUUGUAAACCACGAGGAGAAGGAGGUUUGGAUUUAAGAAAGGCUAAAUAUAUGAAUAUUGUUGGUGUCGGAUCCCGCACCAGAAGUACGAGACCAACCAAAGAUUGCCACGUAGUCAAGAUAAUGACCCAUAAAGAAUGAAGUCCGUUGGACCCAGGAGUCAAAGGAACGGUCGAAGUGGCUGUCACCACUUCGAGAAUCCGAAGUGAUUACAUUGCGACAUGAGUUCGAUGAAGAAGGCAUGGGUAAGAUGGUUCAAGGAUAUUUGGGCCGAAAAGGCGAGGCCCACGAAGAUCGGAGUCAACUCAAAUUCAAACGUUGAGCAUUAAAGUCGAAGAAUCAAAACGGACACAUUUAAGAAGGAAUAAUUGUGCUUUAUUACUCAUUUUAAUGUCGUUUCUCUAUGUAUAAAUAUCGAGGCCGAUGGCCAUGUAAGGGGGAUCUUCCUCAGAGGAGAGAAAUAUAUAGCAAAUUUUGUAACAAUUCACAAGUUUUUAUACAUUCAUUUUUGUCUCUCAAGAAUAAUCUUUCCCACUUAAUAAAAUACUUGAGUGUGUGAAUCCGACAUCCACAUUUUGGCGCCGUCUGUGGGUAUAUUAGGUUCUUGAGUGGUCAGAUUUUUUCUUUAUCACACUUCCGAGAUAAGCAACAAUGUCCGGAGGAGACGCCGCUGAGACAUCAUUGGCCGAAACCCUCAAAGCUAUGCAGCAAACCAUGUCGGACAUAUUACAAAAGUUCUCGGAUGUGGAAAAGGCCGUCGAUACGUUGCAAACAUCCCAGGUAUCUCUUAGUCAAAACGUCAAUACUAUACAAACUCGUGUUCGUUCUUUAAGUGCAGGAAACCCGAUGGGAAUCCGAAGAGGGAUAUUCAACUCGCCAAGUUCCGCUGCACGAAAUGAAACCAGCGGACAAACAACCCCCGGUGCUACUAAUAAUGUAGCUCAGACGUUGGAGGAAGAGACGCAACUCGGGGAUGAAGAACAACUUGCAGCUCAGUACGAGCAGGAGAACCUCGACCAGUUCGAAACCAUGAGGAAGGUUAGCCAGGAAUUAAAAGAAAUGAAAUCAAAGUUUCAUCAAGCUACAAGUUCAGAGCCAGACAUCAAUCGAGUCAUUGAAGAGGCUAGGCGAACACCUUUCAUCUCGCGAAUAGCAAGUUUGAGGAUCAAAGAUUCCCGAAAACUUAAGUUGGACCCUUACAGCGGAUUGGAGGAUCCAAAAAACUAUCUCGCAGCUUUUCUGAUCGCUGCAGGAAGAGUCGAGUUGGAUGAAGCUGAUGAGGACGCAGGCUACUGCAAGCUUUUUUCGGAGAAUCUAUGUGGCCAAGCUCUAAUGUGGUUCACCCAAUUAGAGCCGGGUUCGAUCAGUAAUUUUGACGAACUAUCAGCCGUAUUCUUAAAGCAAUACUCCAUCCUUAUGGAUAAAAGCGUUUCAGAUGCCGAUCUUUGGAACUUAUCGCAAGGAUCUAAUGAGUCACUUCGAGUUUUCAUCACCAAAUUCAAAGGAGUGCUGUCAAAACUCCCAAGAAUCUCGCAGCAAUCAGCUUUGUCUGCCCUACGAAAAGGAUUGCGACAUGAUUCAAGAUUUAAAGAAGACUUAAUACUUCAUAAACCAGACACAAUUCAGGAUGCACUCUUUCGCGCAAACAACUGGAUGGAGGUAGAAGACGAAAAAGAAAGUUUUGCCAAAAGAAAUAAGCAAGAAAAGCCAGCAAUCACCGUUCCUGCCAGGAAGUUCGAGCCUAGGGAGAGCAAGGGACCAAAGAAGUUUGGGUCGCAACCCUUCAACAAUACCGUUGGAAAGCAAUUCCAAGGGAAAGGAAGAUCAAACACUUGGGUCCGUGAUGAAAGUCUAUAUUGCGACAUUCAUAAAGUAACCGGACAUUUAACCAAGGAUUGCAGCGUUCUUAAAAAGCACCUCGCAGAGCUUUGGGCUAGUGGCGGUCUUUCCAAAUUCGAUAUAAAAGAGUUUGUGAAGGAAUACCACGAAGCAAAGGAAAACUCCAAAGAUCAAGAUUCCAAAAGACCAAGGUUAUCCAACGAGGAAGAACCAAGGAGUUCGAAGGGUAAGAUCAAUGUGAUUCUAGGAGGUUCCAGAUUUUGCGGAGAUUCAAUAAGUUCCAUCAAAAAACAUAGACGAAAUGUCUUACUCAAAGCAAGCUUGAGCGAAGAAAUUGAUUUUCAAGGUGCUUCAAUAUCAUUCAACGAAGAAGAAACGCGGCAUCUCGAAAGACCGCAUGACGAUGCUCUAGUCAUUACUCUUGAUGUCGCUAACUUCGAAGUAUCAAGGAUCCUUAUAGAUACAGGCAGUUCGGUCGACUUGAUCUUUUUAAGUACUUUAGAAAAAAUGGGAAUCAGCCGAGGAGACAUAGUAGGACCCCCAUCUCCGUUAGUUGCGUUCACAAGCGAAUCAGCCAUGUCUCUCAGAACAAUCAAGCUACCGGUCCUUGCCAAGAAGGUAUCAAAGAUCGUGAACUUCGUUGUCUUCGAUAAGCCUGCAGCUUACAACAUCAUCCUCGGGACUCCCUGGAUUUAUCGAAUGAAAGCAGUCCCCUCUACAUACCAUCAAUGUAUCAAAUUUCCAACAUCAAAUGGGGUAGAAACAAUUCGGGGAGAUCAAGAAGCUUCACGGACGUGUUACUUAGCUAGCCACCGUUUGAAGAUCCAAUAGCAAUUAACAAAGCCCGCAAAAGAAGGACUAAGGCAAAAAUUUCCUAGUGGGCAGGGAAAGGAGGAUGUGGUAGUCAAAGUUGUAUUGGAAGAAGACAAACCAGAUCGGAAAGUUCGAAUUGGAGCAGCAUUGACUGACCAAAUAAAAGAAGCUUUGAUCGAACUCUUAAGGAAAAACAAAGCAUCAUUUGCAUGGUCAGCAGCGGACAUGCCUGGCAUAAAUCCAAGUAUAAUUUGUCAUGAACUAAACGUAGAUCCAAGCUUCAAACCGGUGAAACAAAAAAGAAGAAAGCUUGGAGUAGAGCGGGCAAAAAUAGUAAAUGACGAAGUGGAUAAACUUUUGAAGAUAGGGUCCAUAAGAGAAGUGCAAUAUCCGGAAUGGGUAGCAAACACUGUCGUCGUCAAGAAAAAGAACGGGAAAGAUAGGGUUUGCGUCGAUUUUACAGACCUGAAUAAAGCAUGUCCCAAAGAUAGUUUCCCGCUCCCGCAUAUAGAUCGACUUGUAGAGUCCACCGCUGGAAAUGAGCUGUUAACGUUCAUGGACGCCUUCUCGGGUUAUAAUCAGAUAAUGAUGAACCCCGACGACCAAGAAAAGACGUCGUUUAUCACAGAUAGAGGUAUCUAUUGUUACAAGGUAAUGCCUUUUGGUUUGAAAAAUGCAGGUGCAACUUACCAACGGUUGGUGAACAAAAUGUUUCACAAUCACCUCGGGAAGACUAUGGAAGUCUACAUAGAUGAUAUGUUGGUUAAAUCGUUAAAAAAAGAGGAUCAUGUUAAACAUUUGGAGGAAUGUUUUGAUAUUCUUAAUAAAUAUCAAAUGAAGCUGAACCCGGCAAAGUGCACAUUUGGAGUCCCAUCCGGAGAAUUUCUUGGCUAUAUCGUGACAGAAAGAGGGAUUGAAGCCAAUCCAAAUCAAAUUAACGCCUUUCUAAACAUGCCAUCUCCAAGAAACUUCAAAGAAGUACAACGGUUGACUGGGCGGAUUGCGGCUUUGAAUCGUUUUAUCUCGAGAUCAACAGAUAAGUCUUUGCCUUUCUACCAAAUUCUAAAAGGGAACAAAGGAUUCCUUUGGGAUGAGAAGUGUGAAGAAGCUUUUGGGCAGCUUAAGGCAUACUUAACCACUCCGCCUAUACUGUUCAAACCGGAAGUGGACGAAAAACUUUAUUUGUACGUAUCAGUUUCAAACCACGCGGUUAGUGGAGUCUUGGUUCGGGAAGACCGUGGAGAGCAGAAGCCAAUUUACUACGUGAGCAAGUCAAUGACGGAUUAGGAAACCAGGUACACAAUGAUGGAAAAGCUUGCACUCGCGGUGGUAACUUCGUCUCGGAAGCUGCGUCCAUAUUUUCAGUCCCAUCCGGUUGAAGUAUUAACUAACCAACCACUCCGAACAAUACUUCAUAGUCCAAGUCAGUCCGGACGUUUGGCGAAAUGGGCGGUGGAAUUAAGCGAGUACGACAUAGAGUUCAAAAGCCGAAUCAGUAUGAAGGCUCAGGUCUUAGCAGACUUCCUGACCGAACUACCAAUACCUGGAACGAUAGAACAACCGGAGAACCAAACUUGGAAAUUACACGUAGAUGGGUCUUCAACAAAACAAGGAUCCGGAGUGGGAAUCAAGUUGGAGUCUCCGACGUCAGAAAUUUUAGAACAAUCAUUCCGGUUGUUAUUCAAUGCCCCCAAUAACGAGGCAGAAUACGAAGCCCUGAUUGCCGGACUUCGAUUAGCACAAGGAGUUGGAGCUAAGGAAAUAUUGGCUUAUUGCGAUUCGCAAUUAGUAGUUAACCAAUUUAAUGGAGAUUAUGAAGCCAAAGAUUCAAGAAUGGAAGCGUACCUCGAAGUGGUGAAGGAUUUAUCUAAAAAUUUCUCGAAAUUUGAACUAAUCCGCAUACCUCGGGGAGAGAAUACAACUGCGGACGCACUUGCAGCAUUGGCAUCAACAUCAGAUCCUGAGAUGAAAAGAGUUAUUCCAGUGGAAUGCAUUUCGGAGCGAAGCAUUCAAAACAGCAAAGAAACCCUCGUCGUUACAAGGUCUCGAGCAGCGGCACGCGACCGUGGCGAACCAGAGAUCGAACCGCCACCCAACAAACGGAGGAAGUCAAAGAGAUCAAAUACAUCUAACAAGGAACCCGUUGCUUCAGCUGAAGAUAUAAUUCCAGAAACAAUAUUAGAAACCGAACCGUUAAUCGAGGAGGAUGUUCUUGAACCAAACGAACAUCCCGAGCCAGAGCCACGAGUGUUUCGCAAGGUUGACCAAAUUCCGGCUAAAGACUUGGGGGCUGACUGGAGGGAGCCAAUAAAGCACUACAUCACGACAGGUGAGCUCCCAAAGAAUAAAUGGCAGGCCAGGAAAAUGAAAGUCGUUAGCGCAAAAUUUUGUCUGUCAAAGGAUGCAUUAUAUAGACGAGGUGUCAGUGACCCUUACCUAUUAUGUAUUUUUGGGCCCGAAGUCGAAAUCAUCAUGAGCGAAGUGCAUGAAGGAUUAUGUGGGAGUCAUUCAUCAGGACGAGCUAUGGCUUUUAAAGUUAAAAGAAUGGGGUAUUUUUGGCCUACUAUGAUCACAGAUUGUGUUAAGUACGCCCAAAAAUGCAAGCGCUGCCAACUCCAUGCACCAUUAAUCCAUCAACCGUCGGAAUUAUUCUCCUCCAUUUCCGCCCCAUACCCGUUCAUGAGGUGGUCAAUGGACAUCAUUGGACCAUUACACAAAUCGACUCGAGGUGUACAGUACCUUUUAGUCCUUACGGAUUACUUUUCAAAGUGGAUUGAAGCUGAGGCGUAUGUGGGUAUCAAGGAUUCGGCAGUGAAGACCUUUAUUUGGAAAAACAUUAUAUGUCGACAUGGAGUUCCAUACGAAAUAGUCACUGAUAAUGGACCGCAAUUUAUUUCACAAGAGUUUGAUGCCUUUUGUGCGGACUGGGGAAUUAAAGUUAGUUAUUCUACUCCGCGAUAUCCGCAAGGAAACGGUCAAGCUGAAGCCGCGAACAAGACAAUAUUAAGCAACCUCAAGAAGCGCUUAAGUCAUCUAAAGGGAGGAUGGUAUGAAGAACUCCAACCCGUCCUGUGGGCCUAUCGUACAACCCCUAGGCGACCUACAGGAGAAACUCCAUUCUCUUUGGUUUACGGCAUGGAGGCGGUAGUACCAGCUGAACUCAAUGUGCCCGGACUUCGCCGAACAGAAGCACCGUUAAAUGAGGAAGAAAAUUCAGCAAUGCUUAAUGAUUCACUAGAUACCAUAAAUGAAAGGCGUGAUCAAGCUCUAAUUCGGAUCCAGAACUACCAGCAGGCAGCAGCCCGGUAUUACAAUUCUAAGGUUAAAAGUAGGCCUUUCUUCGUGGGAGAUUACGUAUUAAGGCGCGUCUUUGACAACAAAAAAGAAGAAGGUGCCGGUAAACUCGGUAUUAACUGGGAAGGACCUUACAUUAUUACCGAAGUGGUUCGGAACGGUGUUUAUAGGUUGAAAGACUUAGAAGACAAUCCAGUCAAGCGACUUUGGAAUGUGAUCAACUUAAAGAAGUUUUAUGUUUAAAGCUAUAUGCAUUGUUUUUGUACAUGAACUACGGUGUGGCUUGAUCCCGAGAUGGGUACGUAGGCAGCUCGGAAACGAGUUCAGCUAUUAAUAAAAAUUGGUUUUAUUUCUUUAUUAAAGGAAAAAGGUUCGAUCGUGCGAACAAAUGAAGCAAAUAAAGGUUCAGCUAUGCGAACAUACAAGAGAUUGGAAAUAGAGCAUUAUUUAAAAAAAAAAAACGACAUGUCCUUCAUCGUACACUUCGGAUUAUGGGAAUCUUGUUGAUGAGCAGAACACUUCAACUCCUUGACCAGCAAGAUCAAGGAUCGGCAUCAUGCAGUCCGGAAUUCGAGCAAAGUCAGAAAUUCCAAGCUCAAUCCACUCUCCGGGGUGAGAUUCAAGGAUGUGAAGACUUCUUGACACUGUAGUAAGCCUGCGUUGCAUCCGGUUAAUCCUCUUCCGAAGUCUCCUCUUUUCCGACGUAAGCUUCCGGUGUUGAAGCUCGAGCGCCUCUAUAAAUGCCGUCGCCGUUCCUUGGUCUCUGAUUGGGAGAUCCCUGAUCAAAGCACAUGGGGCUCGGAUCUGAGAUCUCAAGAAGCCGCGAAGUGGAGGAGGCUGCCUGUUUGGCUCAUUUGGAACAUCUUCAUUCAUCAUUCCGAUUCUGGAGAAGUCGGGCAUAGAUUCUUAACAGCGAAGGUUGAACUCCAUACCUGCUAAAAUAAAAAAAAAAAGGGUGAGAAGUAAAGGGAAAUCGAACCUAUAAUUUAUAGGAACCCCAUAUCCUUAGCAAGCUGUGGAUUCUAUCCAAGGAAUGGAGUGAUUCGCGGAGAGAUUCAUGCCCUCGAACAGAUCCUGCAUUAAAAGGUGCAUCUCCGAAAAUAUUUUAAAAGAGAGGAAAGUUGCAAGCGUUUCCAUAAAUAAAAGGGGGCCGAAGCCCAUUACGAGUUUUUAAAAAAAAAAAAGAGAGAGAAGAAGUGAAGAAAUUAAAGGACAUUUAUGGGAGAGGCUCAGGAACAGGCUCCUUCAUCGCCGGAUUAGUCUCCGAAGUGGACGCCUUGUUCGUGGCAUUCACCUCGGAACGAUCCCGAACGCGUUUCCGGCAGUUGCUGGCCUCCUCCUCCAAGUCCUCUUCCUCUUCACUGUCGAAGGGAACGGCGCAGACAGGGGCGUUCACGGGACCCGGGACUCCUCUAGCGCGGAGAUACAUCCGAAGCAUCUUCGGGAUUUCAGCAACGGAGUCGAAGUUCCGCCACUCCCACUGAAAGGGAUCGCUCUCGAAGGCCCGUAUCUUCCUUUCCACCCGAGCGAUGCGAGCCUCGAGCGUCUGCCUUUUGAGUCCCAGCCGCUGCCUCUCUUCACACAAGCGACGGUGCUUGUCGGCAACCUAACAUAAAAAUGAGUGAAUAAGACGAAACAAGAAGUUUUUAAAUCAAAAACUUUAAUAGUUACCUUGUCAAUAAAAUCGCAAGCCUCUUUCUUCUCCUUCGAAGGAAAGUGAAAGACGGCGUGAGGGAAGAGAACGCCGGCCGGUUCAAAGCCGUCGCCGGACAAGAAGAGUGGGCUGCCGGGAUCAACGGGGGCUACUGUUUCGUUUUCCAUUCUUAAAAUAUUUCUCAAGCAAGAUUCUAGAGUCAUGUUUAAAUAAAGCUUAAGAGGUAGGUGAGCCUUUAUUUAUAAUGAUUUAGGGUUUGUCUUGGAACCAUAAAUCCAUUAAUGGUAGCGUGCCCAAGUGGUUUAAACCAUUUUUGGAAAAUCGAGAAAAGGCAAUUAUUGCAUUAAAAGACGAGCCGUUUUCCUUGAGAAGGGAAAGAGCAACCGUCGCAUUAACUACAAAAGUUUCUAAGGCCCAAGCCCAACAAGUUUACCGAGUUGACUAAACCCGAAGUGGGGAACUCGCUUUAAGCCGAGCUCAGCUCUCGCAUUCUAAAGAGAAAGGUCUGAUCAGCCUAAAAAUCUCGAAAGCAUUGCCACAAGGCCACAAAAGGUUAAAAGCGGACUUUGCAAACCCGCAUAUAAUUUUAACCAAACCCCCUGGGGUCACAACCUAGAAAGGUUUAAAAGCCUCCUCAGGCAAAUAUCUUGUUCAAAAGAAACAAUAAAGCCUUCUUAGGCCAAAAAUAAGUUUGGAAUUAAGUCUUAAAAUUAAAGGGACAAUCCCCAAUUUAAAGUGGACAUAGCCACUACGGAGUGAUCUCCACCUCGGACUCCGGCUCAGCAAUCAGAGUUUCAUUCACCUCCUUGACUGGUGAUUGAUCAGAUGAAGCUCCCUGACCACCCUCCGCGGUACAACCAACCUCCGGAGUGACCUCCGGCACCACAGGAGCUACGGGCGGGACAAUGCCUUCCGUCUCGCUUGAACCUAGAAAUAAUAAUUCCAGUCAAUCAAAGGUACAAGGUAAGAAAAGGUAAGCCUCAGGAGCCAAGCGUUACCUGCCCAGUCUAAACCCGAUUCACUUAUAGGAGGUGAUUCAGUAAAGAAUUCCUCGAAGUCAAGCGGGUUGAAGGUCGAAGUGGGAAGAGCUGCCAAGCGACUCCGUUUUUCAGAAAGAUUAGUUGACAGCUCAGUCCUCUCUUGCUCCUCAGAGAAAUCUGCUUCAUGGAUUUGAUCCAGCAGAAUCAGGUUGCUUUCAUGCUCUUUGAUGUCUGACUCUAAGUCCGACCUAGCCUUCUCAGUUUGCAUGAAGCGAAUGGCCCCUUGGAUCAACUCCAUCCCGCGUCCCUUAACCUCCUUUCUGGCCUUCGAUGCCGACCUUGCCAACUCAGAAUCACGCAACUUGGCUAGCGCCUUGGAUUUCGCGUCAAGCUCGAUAAGUUGGUUGUUCAAGGUGUCGGCGGUUGAUUCGGAUUCAUGAAGUCUACCCUGAACACCAGAAAGUUCGUCCUGGAGCUUGUAAUUCCGGUCGUAGUAGUCUUGCAGCUCCCCCUUUACUUGCGCCAGCUCGGAUGUUAACCUGUCGACCUUAUCCUCCAGAUCGUGCUUGGAGCCAGCAGAAGAAUUGAGUUCAGUCUCAAGAGCUGAGAAUUUCUUCUUCCACAUAUCAAUCUCCUUCUCCCGUCCAAUGACCAACCCUUCGUAAUGUUCGAUCAUGUCGUUAAGUUCGCUAUGAGCCUGGCAUCAUACAUGAACCCGGGAUGGCGAGUCAGUUCGCAGAAUGGCAAUACAAUAAAAAACAAAAAAAAGGGGGGAAGAAAACGGAACUAACCCGAGAUGAAUGAUAAGCGUGAAGCAAAUAGCGUUCACAAAUUGCAGGGCGCCAUUUGUUGAAAUCUGGCAAGAUUGAACCCGAACGGGUCUUGAAGCAUCGGAAGACGCUGCCUUCUGUCUCCAUAGCUGCGAAGAAGGAAGAAUUGUAAAAAUUGGAAUAAAGACAAAAAGUUUAAGCAUGUGUAAAUCACCAAACCUGAAAGCGAUUUGACUUGAGGGACAAGAGCAGGCUUCAGCCUCGAGGAAGCAUCUCGAGAUUCAGAAUCUCCACUUUUAGGGGAUGCACUCCGAGCAGUCUUUUCGCUGACGGACUGGGAAGAAGAAGACAUGUCAACAGGACGGGGAGGACCCAUUGGUUCAGUAGGAGGGGAGGAUCGAGGUGAACGGUCAGUCCGGGCCCUUGAUUUCUCCCUUCGCGGAGACAAGUCAUCACGGGACGACUUGUCCCUCUUCUUACGAACCAAAUUCUUAAGUGGUUCGUUGCUAAAAUCGUCUCGGGGAGGACGAGGAGAAUCAUGACGAGGAGACCGCUCUCUCCGAGGAGAACGCUCGUCGCGGCGCUCGCGGCGAGGUGUUAACCUAUAAGCAGCAACGGAUCUGGCUCCCUCGGAGCUGUUGUCAUCGACCAGCAGGGUCCUGCUGUAAUCUUUUUUGUCAAUGGCGGUCGCAAGGAACGCCUUGUUUUCAUCACAAGCCUCUGCUAUCGGCUUGGAGAGUUUCUUACGCUGGGCAGCGAGGGCCCGAGCUGACAUUCCCUGAGUUGAGGGAGGAGGCGGAAGACGAUGAAGUAGAUUGGGAGGACUCAUCCUGAGUUUCCGGUUGGCCUCGACAAACCGGUCGAGGGUGAAAGAAUUCCAAAGGGUUUCCCCUUCAAGGAUUGUUUUGAAGAACUUGACAAAUUCUUCGGUCGGGAGAGUUGAAGCGAUGAAAGCUGCGAAAUGAAACAACGAAUUCGGUCAGUAAAAAAUAAUAAUAAACAAUAAAGGAAUAUACGACCUAGUCUCUACCAGGUUUCGCAGACCACUUCGAUGGGAGUACAUCGGAAAGAUUCCCAAUCGAAGCGGGAGUUUUCCUAAUCAGAAACCAAGGAUGGUGCCAGUUCUCAUCCUUGUUCGGGAGGUGCGAGAUGACGUUUCUAUUGGCAUUUGGAUACGCUGAGAAGUACCCAGUUUUCUUUGAUGAACUCCUUACGCUUAGGAGUUCAUUCAGCUCGGGGACUCCAAUGACGUAGCCGGCCUCCACCGCAACGGUUAUAAUCCCGAGGAUGGUUCGGAGGAGAUUGGGGGUUAAUUGAGGUAAAGCGAUCUCGAGAGCCGCCAAGAAUCGAACUAGGGCUUCAGGAAGGGGGAAGGUCAAUCCGCAGCCCUUGAAGUAAAUUUCGUAAACACAAAAGUAGCCGGCACGGUGGUUCUCAGGAGAUUCCGUAGGGUCGGCUAUUUGCGCCUCCGCUAUAAUUCCAGGAGGAAUUUGACAAAGUCCCUUCAAUCGCUCAAGGGAUUGAAGAGUACAGAUGGAUUUGUAAUGAGGACCGGCGAUGUCGUUAGGACGAGUGCAUUCGUCAUUACUAGAACGCCUCUCGUCGUAAGACGGAGAUUCAGGUCUUUCAGAAUCAGAAGUCAUCGAAUAAAAAUGAAAAAUUCAAGAUCCGGCGAAGAGAAGUUUUUUGUGAAGAAGAGAAGAGAGAGUUUUUGAUUAAAGUACAAAAGUAAAAGAAGAGAGUAAUGGUGAAAAGAAGUUACCUCAAGCUAAUGAUGAAACCGCCUCGGAAGUCGUGUGGGAAGUGGGAAGGUUUUUUCCGUUUUAAUAGUAAUUAAACAAUAUACGGUCAUAAUGAUGACAGAUGUCACUCAGUUAAAAAAGGCUAGUGCCGAAAUUAAAGGAGUGAUGAGAUUUUCGGUGGGAAAUCAGAAAGAUUCUC
rnacentral:lncRNA from 1 species